rnacentral:lncRNA from 1 species
CUCUUCAUGAUGACUUGUUGUUGUUGCUGCAGCUGCUGGUGUUCUUGUUAUUGUUGUUGUUGUUGUUAUUAUUAUUGUUAUUGGGGUCGCGGGGUUGGAGGUGGGUGGAGUCUGAAUGUCUCCCCGCCCCUUCCUGAAAGCCGAAACUUAGAAAACUUCGCUUUGCUGGGUUGACUAAGCCUUCAUUCUUGGUUCUGGUUAUAUAUAUCUAUAUAUAUAUAGAUAUAGAUAUAGAUAUAUAGAAACAGCUUGUAUUUGGGGGACAAAAAGGACAAAACAAACAGCAAUGAAACCAAAUGAGGCGUUAAGUUUACAGUAGUAGUUGCAUGGCAUGGUAAUUUGGAAGGCUCUGCUUUUCCGCAAGCAAUCAUUUUUCCAUGUCUUUUCUUUUUUAUACUUGGUGAAAUGGUUGAGAACAAACUGAUUGAAGCUUUUGGUUGUCUCUUGCGAUGUCAUCAACCACAAUGCUGCCACAUUACUGCUAUAUUAAUGAGACAUCACCAUUCACUUAACCAAAUUGGCCUGUGAGACUUGAUUGCAACAAUCAAGAAAGUAUGAGCUAGAAAUUGCGGCUAUUAUUGUUUGGGGACCAAAGUGUCACCUGCCUCAUAGUUUGAGGACCAAAAGUGUAAUUUAGCUUUAUUUUAUCUAUCAACCCUUGGAACAGGCAUUAAUUUUCCUAUCUCAGCACUCUGUUGGAAGGUCUGCUGUUUUGCAGGCAACCUUGUUCUGUCAUUUGUGAUGCCUCUUGAUGUGAACGAAUGGCAGGUCGGAGCCUCUCUGUCCUUCUACUUUCUUUUCACUGUUGAUAUUUCUCAUGCUGACCGUCCAUAUGUCCUCAAUCCUCUUGCUGACUGUAUGCUUCAACCGGAAGGCCCUUACUGUUUCAUGCAAUAUUAAGGAAGUGUUUUUCCUUCGUUGUACUUGUCAAAGGAGGCUGUGAUGAUUGCCACUUGGGAAUGCACCUCAACUUCUUUAAUCCUUGCUUUGGAUUCUCGGCGGAGUGCAGAAGCUGACCAAAAUACUAGGUAUAAGAGAGUCAACUCAAACCUGAGACCUUGGUUGGGUUUUGACAGUUCGGGUGGGAUUUGAAUCUUUUUUUUUUUUUUAAUUUUAUAUUUUAGUCCUUUUACACCCCUUGAGAGGCCUUUACGUGGUUCAUUUGUGGGAUAGACGGCAUCUCAGUGGAUGGCUUUUGGCUGACAUGAUCACCUGGUGUAGGCUAUAAUUUUUCCUUUCUCAGCAGCUCAUAUAACCAACAUUAAGUACCUGUAGCAGGACUUAAAUUGGAAGGUCUACUGUCUUGGAUGCAACAUUUUGCUGUCGUGUCUUUAAGGUGCAGAAGAUUGCAAGAUCCCUUGCGAGAUGAUUAAGUGGCAAAUCUGAGCCUCCAUUUUCUUCUCCUACUUUCUUUUUAGCUAUUAGGAUUCGGUGGUACAUUAUUUAUUUUUCCCAUUUUUUCUUUUCCUCCUCUGGCCUUCUUACUGCAUGUAGAACCUAGGUGGGUUGUUUUCACAUAUUCCUUAUCUACUUCCUGAAAUGUGACACUCUACUUCAUGCUGGUUGAUGCUAAAUCAUUUAUCCUGUAUGUCUUCAGAUUUAGGCAACUUGUUAGUCUUUUAGAUUUUGAAAAGAACUAAAAACAGAUAAAGAUACGGAUGUUUGGCAUGUAUAUCUGUAUAUUUGUAUGCUGAUUCAAAUGUGGGUAUCCAACAUACUUGUAUAUCUACUUUUCCAUUUCUCUUCUUGAUGCCUUGUUGUUGUUGCUGCUGCUGCUGUUGUUAUUCUUGUUAUUAUUAUUACUGUUGUUAUUGUUAUUGUGGUCGCAAUGGUGGUGGUAGAGGUGGGUGGAGUAUCGCCUCUCCGUGUCACGCCCCGAAACCGCUAUCAAUUUGGUCCGGCUCGGGCGCGUCGAACAGACGCCGAACGGACAGAACCUCCCCUCCAUUCUAGGCUCAACAACAAGAUCAUGUACGUUUUUGUCGCCCAGGAUGACAUACAACAUACAUGAACAGUACGAAGCACCGCAAGUGCUACACAAUUAAGAGCAAGACACAAGUAAUAAAAUGAGUGGUAUAAAGAGAGUAACAUCUAGCUAUUACAUCCACAAGGCAUUCAACAUUUAGAUCCUUGAUUAUAUUUACGUCUCCAAAAUGAAUAUUCAUGAUAAUCUCCAAAAUACCCUAGCAAUCUCCCAAAAUACAUCAUAUGUCACGGGGUGCACGAGGGUACACUAAUGCAAGUGGAAGCUGCUAACUAUACCUAGGGCGCGAUGCUCUUACCACGAUCCUCUGCCGGUGCUCUCUCGCUAGGCCCUGCAACAAAGUGGGGUGAGAACUAUAUAAAUAUAGUUCCCAGUGGGUUCGGCCGCCGACUCCGCCGAUCUUCCCACUAGGUCUAAGCAGGCAUAAGCAGAUAGAUAUCUGUAACUGUAAUUGAUGCAUAUAGAAGGAAUUGCAAGAUUCUACUAUGCCUGGAGAACAAGAGUAAAUCACAUAGCCAUGUAAUCUCUAACAUGCUAUAAUAACUCUAUCAAGUAUACAUGCAAUUCUACUAUGCCCAGCAUGCUCAACAUACUCAAUAUGCUUACUAUGCUCAAUAUGCAUAAUUCUCUUGAGUUCAUCACCCAAUCAUCUGGCUAGCCCAAAGGCGCGCCCUCGACUCACAACUCAAAUCCGUCUAUGAAGGGGGACUCGAACCACUCGAGGGAUUGUCUGCGGGACCCCACAUAGGCUAUCCCUUGGGACCCCACAUAGGCUAUCUCAAUCGUUUCACGUGCCAAGACUCCGAAACUCGCACUACUUGUGCGGAGCGACCGCCACAAGCGCUGAACAGACUGUGUGAGUAUAAUCAAAUUCGUUUCCAACGAAGGUACCCGGUCACUACGACCUACAUGCACAAGUGUUCUUUUAACACUACGUUCUAAUGCCACUCGUCAAGUUGUUUACUUGGUAUACAUAUGACACUCGUCAAGUAUGUACUUGGUUCACAUGUCACUUGCCAUAAUGCAAUUGUCCCGACUAUACUAGUCAUAUAUCCGCUAUGCAAGAUCAAGUUAUUGUCUAACUUAUCUCUAUAGGGUUCUAUGUCACAAACUCAUUCUCAUGCACCCUAAGUUCACAUGCCAAGCCUACUAUGUCGCAAUACAAGGGAGCAUGCAAGAAUAGUAAAAGUAACAUCUAAAUACCCUAACAUGCAUGAUACUAUAUAUGUAGUAUGUUCAACAUAGAAAUACUUAGACAUAGGGAGAAGCCCAGUUGCUUCGGGAUGACACCCCCCACCUCUUGGUGAUGUCCUGAAGUUACGAUUCCGUUUCCAAGAUUUUUGGAAGCUUUCGCCGCAAGUUGCGGCAAUCUGUACCCUAACGGCUUCGUUCUUUAAUAUCUUCGCGUACGCUCGUCGUAUCGCCGAACCGAUUUCGCCAACGCGUCAGAAAAUCUAGCAAUUAGGUUUAUACAUGAUCAAUUUAGAUCAAAACCUCACAUAUCGAAAAAUUCUAUUUUUGAGCCCUAACAUGCAAUUACCCCCAAAUAAUCCAAAUUAAAUGGAGCAACAUGCUAAGAAUGCUCAUUAGAGGCUACUAGAAUACUUAAAGUUAAGGAUUAAGCCAAAUCCCAAAAGUUUACCAAAAUGUGAACGCCGAGACGGAAGCACGCCGCUCCAACGGGCGCACGAAAGCUCGAUCCGUCGCUCCCGACGCGUUCGCAAGCUCGUUCUCCGCCAACGCCGCGAAUUUGGGCGAAAGAUCUAGAGAGAUGAGAGAGUUAUUUAGAGAGAGAAAGUGAGGAUUUCUCUCACUACCACCAUGAACAUGUGCUUGUGGGGGUGGUGCUUGGCUGUGAAGAAGAAGCCAAGUCACUAGAAGCUUCUACUUAUAUAGUCAACACCCCAAUAUAGUCAACACCCCAAUAGUAGCAUACACUAUUCACUUCAGGCAGUUCGAAAUCUGAUAUCUUUCGCCGGAGCCCUCUGAAUAUCCGUUUGAGCUCAAAUUUGACAGUCAUGUUCGGAUUUGCUUAACUUAACGAAAGAAAUUUUAAUCUUUCAGUUUCGACCUCGUUUGGUCACCGAAAGCCGUACCGAACUGUAAUCUUUAUCAGAUCACUAUCGGAUUUUAUUUUUCACCUUCCGGAUGUCAGAAUGAUAUGAAACUUUAAAUCUAGCCUCAUAAAAAUAAUUUUGGCUUAUCCUCCAGUUUUCAGAAUUUUCUGACACUGCAUUUUCUGCUAAUUUAUCUGCCCCGUUUCACACAGAAAAUUCUAAAUCUUCUGUUUUCGCUCUGAUUUCAACACGGGUCAUUCCAGACUUAUAUUUUAUGUCUAUAAGUCCAAUAAAAUAGUAUCUCACACUAUUUUUAUUUAUAUUUAUUUUUAUAUUAAAAUUUCAGCAUAUUACAUCCCACCGUAACUUCAUAAUUUAAGAAGUUCGGUACCUUACAAUCCGCCCCUUCCUGAUGGGGGAAACCCACAAAAAUUUGCUUUUCGGGUUGACCAAGCCUUCAUUCUUGGUUCUGGUUCUAUAUAUAUAUAUAUAUACAUACAAACUGUUUGUAUAUAGAGGAAAAAAGAAAAAGAAAAAAGCAACAAAACCAAAUGAAGCCUUAUUAAGGUUUCAGUGGUAGGUGCAUGGCAUGGCAAUUUUGGAAGGCUCCGCUUUUCUGCGAGCAACCAGUUGUCCAUGUGUUGCCUUGCUUAGAUUUGCCGAAAUGGCUGAGAACAAACAAAUUGAAGCUUUCGAUGGGUCUCUUGGUUGUCAUCAACCACAAUACUGCUGCAUUACUGCUACUUUAGUGAGACCACCAUUUACUCAACAAAAUUGGCCUAUGAGACGAUUGCUACAAUCAAGAAAUUUUCGAGCCAGAAACUGCAAGUAUUAUAGUUUUGAGGACCAAAGUGUCAUCUGGAUCAUAGUUUGAGCACCAAAGUGCAAUUUAACCUUAUUUUAUCAAACGAACCAAGGAACAGGCAAUAAUUGUCCAUCUCACCUGCCUGUGGCAGUACUCAAUUGGAACUCAAUUGGAAGGUCUGUUGUUUUGCAGGCAACCUUGUUCCAUCAUUUAUCUUAAAGGUGCAUAAGAAUACACGAUGCCUCUUGAUAUGAUUGAAUGACAGGUCAGAGCCAACUUCUUUCAUACUCUCUUUUGUUAUACUUGUCAAAGGAGGCCGUGAUGAUUGCCACUGGGGAAUGCACCUCAGCUUCUUUAGUCCUUGCUUUUGAUUUUUCGUUGGAGUGCAGAAGCUGACCAAAAUACUAGGUAUAAGAGAGUCAACUCAAACCUGAGACCUUGGUUGGGUUUUGACAGUUCAGGUGGGAUUUGAAUCUGGUUUUUUUUGGUUAUUUUGGUUCUUUUACACCCCUUGAGACGCCUUUGCAUGGUUCAUUUGUUGGAUAGACAGCAUCUCAGUGGAUGGCUUUUGGCUGACAUGAUCACCUGGUGCAGGCUAUAAUUUUUCCUUUCUCAGCAGCUCAUAUGUGACCAACAUUAGGUACCUGUAGCAGGACUUAAAUUGGAAGGUCCACUGUCUUGGAUGCAACCUUUUGCUGUCGUGUCUUUAAGGUGCAGAAAAUUACAAGAUCCCUUGCGAGAUGAUUAAGCGGCAUAUCUGAGCCUCCGUUUUCUUCUCCUACUUUCUUUUUAGCUAUUAGGAUUUGGUGCUACAUUCUUUAUUUUUCCUUUUUUUUCUUUUCCUCCUCUGACCUUCUUACUGCAUGUAGAACCUAGGUGGGUUGUUUUCAAAUAUUCCUUAUCUACUUCCUGAAACAUGACACCAUACUUCAUGCUGGUUGAUGCUAAAUCAUUUAUCCUGUAUGUCUUCAGAUUUGAGGCAACGUGUUAGUCUUUCAGAUUUUGAAAAGAACUAAAAACGGAAUAAAGAUUCGGAUGUUUGGCAUAUAUAUCUGUAUACUUGUAUGCUGAUUCAAAUGUGGGUAUCCAACAUACAUGUGUAUCUACUUUUCCAUCUCUCUUCUUGAUGCCUUGUUGUUGAUGCUGCUGCUGCUGUUGUUAUUAUUAUUAUUAUUUUUGUUAUUAUUAUGGUCGCAGUGGUGGUGGUGGAGGUGGGUGGAGUCUAUCGUCUCUCCACCCCUUCCUAGGGAACCCACGAAACUUUUCUUUUCGGGGUUGACCAAGCCUUCAUUCUUGGUUCUGGUUAUAUACAUACAUACAAACAUUUUGUAUAUAGAGGAAAAAAGAAAAAGAAAGGAAAAAAAAAGCAACAAUAACAACGAUACCAAAUGAAGCCUUAAGGUUUCAGUAGUAGGUGCAUGGCAUGGUUAUUUUGGAAGGUUCUGCUUUUCUGAGAGCAACCAAUUUUCCAUGUGUUGUCUUGCUUAGACUUGCCGAAAUGGCUGAGAACAAACAAAUUGAAGCUUUCGCUGGGUAUCUUGGGAUGUCAUCAACCAUAAUACUGCUAUGGUAGUGAGACAUCACCAUUUACUCGACCAAAUUGGCCUGCGAGACGAUUGCAACAAUCAAGAAAGUUCAAGCCAGAAAUUGCCAGUAUUAUAUUUUUGAGGACCAAAUUGUCAUCUGCCUCAUAGUUUGAGCACCAAAAGUGUAAUUUAGCCUUAUUUUGUCUAACAAACCACAGACACAAAACAGGCAAUAAUUUUCCUAUUUCACCUAUGUAAUACACUGGAUCUUAGCAAAUUGCAAGAUUCGAGUGUUUGAUCUGUGUGUGGAGCCUUUCCACAGUUUUUGGAGGGUCGUUGAUAGUGUUCCGACCCCUGGCACGCACCCCGAGGAUGUUGGUUUGAGACUUGGCACCAAAAUUUCAAAAUUGAAAUUUUUAGUCAGCUCUCGGAUAGCCUGCAGCAGAGCUUGUACCGGAACAAGAUUGGUCUUGUACCGGUACAAGGUUGAUGGUUGUACCGGUACAGCCAUCGGGCUUGUACCGGUACAGAGCCGCAGACUCCGCAACCCGAGCCUCGGGUUUGCAUUUUCGCAGGGCUUGUACCGGUACAAGGGCCCGUGUACCGGUACAAGGUGGCUGAUUGUGUGCAGUUUGAUACUGCAGGGGGUUUUUCGCGAUUGUAGCCUAUCUAUAUCAGCCCCCACGCCUUUAGGGACUCUCCCUGAGCUGAGACCAGCAGGAGUUGAGGUAGGAGGAACUCUCUUCUUUCCUUUGCAUUUUUACUCCUUUUGCUUGGUUUUUAUUGGAUUUUCUCUCCUCUAUUUGCAUCUUGGUGGCUUCUCCACCAUUGUUGAUGGCUUAAAGCUUGGAGAGGAGCUAGUGGCCGCGGAGAUCUUCAACGUCACUUGGAUUGGAGCUAAGUUUGGAACUUCUUGAGAGGUCAGAGACUUGAUUUCUCCCUUUGAUCCUUGAUUUGAGGUUUUUGUGAGAUCAAACCCUAGAAAUGAAAAUUUAGGGUUUAUUUGGGCAUUUUCGUUUUAGGGCUUUUGAGGCUCAAUCUCUUGGAUUAGAGCCUUCCUCUAGGGUAGAUUGGAGGGGUUCUAACUCUCAUUUGGAGCUUGAGAGGAGAUCUUUGCAUUUGAGGUGAGUUUUCCUCACCUAUGCUUGCAUAGCUUAUAGAUUGAGCUUAGCAUCAUUCGUUUCAUUUAGGUGACACUUGUUUUCAUACCUCUAGGAUACUAGGAGGUUAGAGGACACCUUCGUCGGAGCAAACGAAGGGCUUCGUUUACCGUUGGUGGUUUUGACUUCAUGAAAACGGGGCGAAAUGGCCCCUAUGCCUCCUAAACUCUUCGUAAAGUAUUUUUAAAUUCAUUUCUAUGCUAAAUAGAAUUUAUAUGAAUUUUUGAGCACUUAAAAUGCAUGCCUUGUGUAUUAUGAAGAAUUUCACUAUAUAGUAGAGCUAUAUGAGUAGAAUGCAUGCAUACGGGAAAAGUGUUUAUUUUGCAAGUGGAAAAUACAUCUCUUAUGAGGAGUAUGACUUGGGACAUGUACUUUGGAACAUAGUUGCCAUGCUUGGACAUAGAGAACAAGAGUGUCAUCAAGGGGCACUUGAAACUAGUAAACUAUUAAAUUGCAAUAUAGAGACAUAUUGAUAGGCCACUACAUAUCUGCUAUAUUCCAUGUUAGAGACAUGAUGACAUAGAGAUAGGCCACUGAGAUACUUGAUAUAUAUUCCAUGUUGNUUUAGCCUUAUUUUGUCUAACAAACCACAGAACAGGCAAUAAUUUUCCUAUUUCACCUACCUGUGGCAGCACUCAAUUGGAACUCAAUUGGAUGGUCUGCUGUUUUGCAGGCAACCUUGUUCCAUCAUUUAUCUUAAAGGUGCAUAAGAAUACAUGAUGCCUGGAUAUGAUCGGAUGGCAGGUCAGAGCCUCUCUUUCCUUGUGCUUUCCUUUCAGCUAUUAAUAUUUCUCAUGCUGACUGUUCAUAUGUCCUCAUUCUGACCGUAUACUUCAAUCAGACCGGCGCUUAAUGUUUCAUUCAAUCUUAAGGAAGUGUUUCUCCUUCAUUUUACUUGUCAAAGGAGGCUGUGAUGAUUGCCAGUUGGGAAUGCACCUCAACUUCUUUUAUCCUCUCUAUUGAUUCUCGGUGGUGUAAAAGCUGAUCGAAAUACGGGAUAUAGGAGGCAAUAUAGUUAGCUCAAUCCUUAGAUCUUGGUUGUGUUUUGAUAAUUCGGGUGGGAUUUGAAUCCAGUUUGUUGGUUAGUUUUGUCAUUUUGCUUCCCUUGAGAGCCUUUCGCUUCGUUAAUUCGUGGGAUAGACAGCAUCUCAGUGGGUGGCUUUUGGCUGACAUGAUUCACCGGGUGCAGGCAAUAAUUAUUCCUUUCUCAGCAGCUCAUCAGGCCAACAGUAGCUCCUGUAGCAGUAGUUAAAUUGGAAGGUCUGCUGUCUUGCAGGCAACCUUAUGCUGUUCAUAUCUUUAAGGUGCAUAAGAUUACGAGAUCCCGAUCCCUCAUGAGGUGAUUGAAUGGCAAAUCCGAGCCUCCAUUUUAUUCUCCUAGUUCCUUCUUAGUUAUUAAGAUUUAGUGGUACAGUAAUUUUUUUGUAGCUAUUAAUAUUUAAUGGUACACAAUUUUUCUGUUUUAUCUUUAAUUUCUCAUCCUCUGGCUUUCUUACUGCAUGUAGAAUCUAGGAUGGGUUGUUUCAAACAUUCAUUAUCAAUCCCCUGAAACCCUACUUCGUGCUGGUAGAUGAUGACUAGAUAGAAGUUUGGGGGGUCUAUUUCAAAAUGGUCUAUAGUUGAGGGGAUCUUUAUCCUAUUUAUCCUCUCAAUAUAUCUGAUGGUGAAAAGGUGUUGAUAGUCCCUGUCGUGUCCCAAUACUGUCCCAAUAUUGUGACUUAGUCCUUGAACCUUUUCAAUAACACUCCUCUCUUUCAUCUUUCUUAUAUUCUUGGAAUUUCAUCUCUCCCAUCUCUUUGGUUCAUAUGUUGCAGGCAAAAUCUCUCAUUAGAACUCUGCAUUGUAAUUUAAUUACUAGAGAGGAUUGGCAGGCGCGUGAUCAGUAAUUAGAGGCAGCUCUGGAUGGUCUGCUGUUCUGCAGGCAACCUAGCUUGUACCCAUUUAUCCGGUCAUGGCUGGGGUGGAGGAGGUGGUGGUAGUGAUAAGGAUUGGAUGUAUGUGGGUUCAUAUGAUCCUCUUCUCUGAUUAGGGUAUCACCAUUGCUAUCUUCGCGGCACUCACUUAUUCUCUUGAUCAAAGUUCCUGUAAAGGAUAUCCUUCGUCAUUUACUUCUAUUUCGCAAUUCCUGUUCCUUGAUGUGUUUCGGUAUUUGUGGAAGUUUCUGUUGAUCAUCUUCAAGAGAUGCAGAAUAACCACUUUUGUGGAGUAAAGCUUCUCUCCGCGGUCUUCUGAGAUGUAUACCCAUGAAAUUUUGUGCCUCAGGGUUGAUGAAUGGCUAAAAAUCAAGCUUUUUGAUUUUGAUUGUGCAUUCUUCAUAUGGGUUUAAUUGGUCAGUUAGCUUGGUCCAUUGACACCUCUAAUCUGAGCCAUGCUUCAUUAAUUCAUGGGAUGGAUGACAUUGCCGUUGGUGGUGCAUGUCUGAUCUUGUGCACCGGGUACAGGCCAUAAUUUCUCCUAUCUCUGCAGUCCAUAAGGUCGGCGUUUUGGGGUUCACAUAGCAAUGCUCAAUUGAAAGGUCUGCAUUCUUGCAGGCAACCUUACAAAGUCAUUUGUCUUUAAGGUGCGUAAGACUACAUGAUGCCUCAUGAUAUGAUUGAAUGGCAGAUCUGAGCCUCCCUUUUCUUCUUGUUUCUUUUCAGCUAUUAGGAUUUAUUGUUGUCAUUUUCUUCUUCUCUGUGUUUGUUUCUGCAUGGAGAAGCUAGAUCAUCAAUUCCUAUUCCCUGUACUUUUCAGUGGUUGAUGAUCAGAUUUGAGUUGGUGACUUGGUCGGCUUAUUUCAAGAUGGCCUGUAGUUGAGGGGUCUUCAUACAUUUUACCUUUUUAAUAUGGGUUGGAAUAAGAAUCAGAUAUUAUUUUUCAUCCGAGGCUGGUGAUAUCGGUGACUUUAUCUGAGGAAUAAGAGCUAUUUAUAGUCCCUGUACUAUUCCGAUAUUGUAAUUUGGUCCAAACUACAUCUCCACAACCUUCACUUCGGCACAGGUGUAGUUUCCUAUUAGACCUCUGCAGUGUAAUUCAACCACUACAGAGGUUCCAAGUGUGAUCUAGCAAUGGUGAGGCAGCUAUGGAUGGUCUGCCUUUCCGCAGGCAACCUAGCUGGACCCCUUAAAUCUAAUCAUGAUCUGCCAUGAAGAUAGCAUGCCAGUGUAGCUUCAUCUUUAAGACUCUUCCUCUGUUGAAAGUUUGGAGUGCCAUCUUCGUGGUACAUUUGUUCUCUUGAUCCUGUUAAGAAUACUAGUCCCAUAUUCGAUACUUAAGCUUUUUGGAUUGGUCCGAGACUUUUGGCAUAUCCAACUUCUAGCGAGGGAUAUUUUUAUCUUUUUUUUUUUUUUCAAUUAUUCCAUCUGUCCUUCCUGAUGCCUUUGAUUAUUUGGAGAAGGCGGUAAUGAUUUCUAGCAUGUUGCACAUGAGCUUUCUUCCAAAAUGUUAUGAUUAUUCUAUCCCAGGCUGUAGAAUAUUGAUUUUGCCAAUUGGACGUAGUGGAGGAUGCCGGUCAGCGCGUGUGCGGAGCCUAAAUGAGGUGAAAACGUUUUGGCGCGAAAUGGACGCAAAAACGAAUGAAUAGGGUCAAUCUCUUAUUAUGGAGGACCAAAUCGCAAAUAGACAAAGUUUCGGGCUAAGUUGCAAAAAGGGCAACUUAGUGGAAUUCCACUAAGAGCUCUUAACCUUAUUUUACUGUUCUUUCACUAUUCUGGCCUCCAGUAGACCUAAUGGGAAGAUCGUGGUUAUCGUCGACCGUAUCCACUGGGAACUACUGUUUAGUAGUUCUCACAUCCUUUUGUGGUUUACUUUUGAGGGGUAGGUAUACUGACGGCUGAUCGAGGUGAGGGGGAUCGCGCAGUAGAUACCAUCUCCUACCAGCAUGCCUAGACAUGAGUGGACUACUAGAUAGAGUGCUACUCUGUACUACAUGCAUGUACUGGUGAGGGCCAGGGCUUUUUUUCUUGUACUUUUCUUUUGGGGUUGAGUUUUAUUUGAUAUAGUACAUGAUGUACAGUAGUUUAGUUUGUAGAUAGCGCUCUGAUACUUGUCGUUUGCUUAUUCUGUACUUCAUGUUGAUUCCUGUGUUGUGGAAACUUCUCUAGUGUGACCUCUUGGAAUCCUUUGUCCUGUUCAGUUAUGUUGACGUUUCGUUCAGGCAGGAAAAAACUCUGUUCGUUCGGCGAGUCUGUUGACGUCCCCAUAGGCUUCCGCUGUGGACUUGGGGCGUGACACAGGCUUCCUGAGAUUCAAAGUUUGAAACCCUUGAAAUACUGCUUUAGGUUUCAAAUCUUGGAAGGCUCUGCUUUUCCAGCAGGCAACCAGUUUUGCAUUCAGGGUUCAACCCGUUUUUUCGAAAUUUUUUUUUUUUUUCCCAUAUUAUAUCAUUUCUGACAAAAAGGUUGUAUCCAGUAUUUGAUUUGUGUCCCCAGCUAAGCACUCAUGGUUUCCAACACUGCUCUCCGUUGAAUGUUUGUAUUUGAAUUUGUACUUGGAGAAGUAUGGAAAUAGUCAGUUGCUAUCUGAACAAUAUCCGACCCAUUUUCAUCCCUAGUUAUGUGACAGGUAGUGAUCCUAGUAGAGUCUAGAGACACUGAAGAAGAGAUAUAGUCGUUUCUCACCCUCUAUCAGCGUCUAGAGAGUCUAGAGAGUAAGAGGGAAUCGUUAUCCUGAAAUUUCUUUCCUAAUGUCCAUAUCAGUGUCUCUUUACGUUUUAAUCUUUCUGCUGUGGAAAUCUUAUUUUAGAUUGCUUUACUUCGCUUUCUCGUAUGUCCUGCAUCUAGGUAAUCUUCUUAAUCUAUGUUGUUAGAGCCUUCUUGACUGUCUCUUCUCUCUCUACUUGGGUUCAUCCAUUAACCAGAUAGAAUUGUCCUCUUCUUUUUCUGCAGAAUGUGUUUACCUAAACUAUGAACAAAUGAUAUACAUUUUUUUGUUUUUUCAAUUGACCUCUGAAUAUUGACUUGGUUUCUUUGAUUAAUUAGUUAGUUCACUGCAGUCGGCUUUUUUUUUUUUUUUUUUUUUUUUUUUUUUUUUUUUGGUUUUUGGUUUAUACAUUCUGUUUCCAGCAUAUUUUUUAUAUUAAUGGCUUUACUGUUUACUGUUUUCUGAAUUAGUAUUUUGCAGUUGACAUUUCUCUCGUAUUCCCGUUUCUUUUUAUUAUUUUUGUUAUUAUUGUACCGUUUUGUGUUCUUUCAACAUGCUUGUACAUCUUUCUUCUCUUAUUCUUCUAAUCCCUAGCUACCAUUUUACCAUUGAACCCUGAAUUCUAAACCCUUGGGACAUUGUUUGGUUCAUAAGUGGAGUGAGAAUGGAAAAUAGAAUGACAAACCAUCAACGAAUGUUUGAUUCAUUAUUGACCAAAAUAGUUGUAUAAUUAGGAGGUUCACUUAGAGAGCGGGGGUGUACCGAGUUAUUUAAUAAAAUAUAGUAGAGGACCUACUCGGCAAAAAUAAUAGUUUACGCAGUUAUUUGCAAAAUAACUAAAUUUUAAUUUUUAGGAUGUCUCUGAACAUUUUUUUUUCCUUUAUGAUUUUUUUUUUUUGGCAAUGUUAACUCUACAACGCACCCGUUUUAGACUGUAGAUCUUAUAACUAGAUUAUCCAAAAAGAUAAUCAACUUUGUGCCCUUAAAAAAGAGCUAAUUUCCUCUGUAGCUUUAAAAAAUUAAUAAUUUUUCAUUUACCUUUUAUUUCGAAAAUAUACUCCCGAAAAGAAAAAUUUACAUGCUCCUUUAAAUAUUUGAAAGAAGGAUCAGGUAAAUAUGAAAUUAAUUUUGUAUUGAGGCGUAUAUGAGUAGUGAUAUUAAUGAACACUAAUGUGAUAAUUUUUGUUGAAUUAAUGUUAAAAGUUAAUUAAAAUAAAUAUUACAGAAAAGAAGUUUAGGAGAAAAACCAAAAAUAGGAAAUUACUCCAAAAAUCUCAAAGAAGGAAAAGGAAGGUAAGGAUGUUGUUUCAAAAUAGCUAUUAUUGAGGAGUCUCGACGCUUUUUUGUAUUUGAAAUCAAUGAUUUAAGUGUCUUGGCACGGGAUCGUGCGGAAAUUUGCCGGCACGAUAUGUGCCGAGCCGUGCCGAUGCGUGUCGGUCAAAAAAAUUCUUGCAUGCCGACACAUGGCAACAUGAAAUAUUUAUUUUCUUUAGUAACAAAAUAUUUUAACUAUUUAUUAUAUUUUUUUAUCACAUCUUUUGAACUUUAUUGAGGAAAUUAUUUACUAAUUUAAAGAAUAUAGGGUUUUUAGCUGUGCCAUCGGCACGGGAUCUGUAUCGUGCCGGUAUCUUGUUGGUGCGAUAUGGCACGGUGGAAACGGCCCGUGCCGACGGGUACUUAAAAUCUAGUUCGAAAUGCUGAGUGCACAUGCGGUUGUUACAAAUUAUUUAUAAUUACAAUGUUUUCCACUAUAUCUAAUUAAACAAAUUAUCUAUAUCUAUAUCUCUAUACUUAUACAUUAUUUUCCAUAUAGUCUUGCCACGUAGCGGUCCCUUCUUUAUCUUACCUUCUCCUCUCUUCUCUAAUCACAAUUGUUUCAGCCGCACAAAACCUUUGAUCUUCCAAUCAAUGAACGAUCUUAAACCCACACUCUUCGUUUCCCCACUAAGGAGUUACUAACGCAUUAUUAACUUUAAUAAUUAAUAAUUACGAUGAUCCGCACAAUUAGCACCACUAAAACCCCAUCAUCAUCAUCUCCUCUUUCUCGGAAUCAAAUAUCACACUCUAACAAUGUCCUAUGUUAUAAACCAACUUUUCUAUCUAUUAUUCUUAUUAUUAUUCUCGAACGCGAGGACGAACCCGUCAACGCCAUUCGGGUCGAGCCAUGAUUGUUCAGGCACAUUGUUUGGGUUCAGCGUAUGCUUGGAGUUAGUGGAGGGCGGGGCGAACGGGUCCAAAUCGGGGUUGCUGCUCUGGGUUCGGUCACGUGCUGAGUCGGAGUGUCACGUGCCUCUGUGAGGCCAUACGAGAUAGGCGUACCCGUGAACGUCACCAAAGCUCUCGCUUUGCCCUUGCUUUGUGGGCUCUCCUACACGCCAAUUGUCCUCUGUUACAAAACUAAGAGGUGUAUUUUUUUUUUAUGGUCCAAUUUCACCUGUACAAAUUGCUUUCAUAAGAAAAAAUAAGUAAAAUAAAAUUUUUUUGUACUCUUUUUUUCCCUUUUUUUGGCGCAUAAGAAUGGUUUAUAUUUUGUAAUUUUUUUAAUUUUUUUUAUCUUUUUGUUUUUAAAUUGUAUGUGUACUGAAAUUAGGGUUUUGUGGAUUGUAGAGCAGCAAAGAUAGAUUUGGAGUCAACGAGAGAAAAGAAGUGGAAUCAACGUGGCUGUGACGAAAAGGAGCUCGACAUUGAUAAUGGCGACAAAGGUAAUGUGGAGAUGGGGAUUCGUCUUCCCGAUGUCGGUAGUGAAAUCAAGAUACGUAUGGAGUAAUAAUUCUAUUGCUGCUUCUUUCAUUACUAUUUUUUAUAACUUAUUUAAUGAAAUUAUAAAUUUUGUUACAUUUGUACGUAUAUCUGUUUCAUCUCUUUUAUUUGUAUAUAUGUUAAUAUAUAUUAUUUUUAUUUAUUAAUGUCUUAUGACAAUUCAAAAAAUUUAAAAUUUUUACUUUAUGAAUUUUUUGUCUUUCUAUAGCAUCAAUCCGCCGCAAUGCACGGAUAAUUUCACUAGUAUAUACUUAUAACUGCGGCAUGAGUUGUAAAUCUUAUAUUUCACGAUUUAAAGGCUAAUUGUUACACACUAGUUAUAUCGACAUAAUUUGAUAUAGCUAAUAUGCAGCAUGUAACUCUUAUAAUGAGAUGUAAAAUGUAUACCCAGCUUUUGAGUUUACAGAUUUGUUUGUUAAUUCGCGAAUUAUUCACGAAUUAUUAAAAAUUCAAAUUAAACGGUCCGUUUACGAAUUUUUUUCAAAAAAAAAAAUUAUUAGCGAAUUUUUUGGCCAGCCGAAUAAUUCGCAAAUUAUUUUCGAAUUAUUGAAAAUUUAAAUAAAAAACUUAUAAUUUUUAUGUUUAAAUAUAGAUUAUCUUAUAUUUUAUAUAAAUAUGAGUUCUCUGUUCAUUCUCCCCCCCAAAAAAAAUAUUUAUAUAUAUUUUAUAAUUAAUAAUGGGCUAUUUUAAUCUAUUUCUUGCUUGAUUGUUUAUAUACCAUAGUGUAUAAUAUAAUUCUCUAUAGUUUUUUUUUUUAUUUAAUCUACUUUAUUUUGUAGCUUUUUAUUCUUAGAAUUGUAAAUGUUUACAAUAGUAGUAUAAAUCUAGAAAAAAAAUUGAAGUUUAAUAGGCAAAUUUUUUAUCCCGAAUUUUUAAUUGAUGAACGUAUAAUUUUCGUAUAAAUCACGUAUCCGAAUAAUUACCAAAUCCAUUUUUUAAGUCGAAUUUUUUAACAAAUUAAAAAAAUUAAAAAACGAAUUUUAUACGUAUUAUAACCGUACCGAAUUUUUUCCGAAUCCGAAUUAACUAACUAUGGUUUAAAGGUAGCAAUGCUCUUUUCAUACAUCCUACUUUCGUUUGAUUUAGCCCAUUUUCUAGUAAUACAAUAAAUCCUUCUAGAAAAUAACUUGGAACUAUAUUACAUUUUAAGAGAGUCUGAGACUUAUGCUGGGUUUAUUCCGAAAAAGUUAAAUUGGAGGUUUGGGUUUCAAAACUAUUGAACCUUCUUUUCAAAACAACUUAGAAUAUUUUAGGUAAAGAUAAUACUCUUGUUUUUGAAUUUACAAUAUCAUGUUUUCAUUCUUUAGAAUUUUUUUUUUCAUCGGUCAACUUUGUUUAUUUAAUGUACCCAAAAAUAAUCUUUGAAAAAUAUAAAAUAUGGUAUGUCAUAUUUGACAGUUGUUGACAUGAACGCAUUCUUAAUUGAAAACGAGUUUAUUUCAGUUCAUUAAAAAUUGCUCAAUCUUACAAUCUUUGUGUUAUUCUAUCAUGAAUUCAACUUUGGAGUUAUUUUAUCAUGAGAUUGUUCUGAUUAACUUUUGCUUUUAUUGUUAUCCAUAUUAAUAUUCACAUUUAUUAAUUUCCUCUAUGAAAGUCUUAGAAAAGAGAAAUUUCGCACUUUCUUUACUCUGAGACAUUUUAUUUAGAUAUUUACAAGCAAAUAUACAUUAAGGGUGUGUUUGGUUCGCAUUAUGAAAGAUAACUAGGAAUAAAAGAUAUCCUAGAAUUUUAUUCCUAUUCAUCCUAUUACUAAGAAUGUGGAAUUCAUGUGUUUGGUUUGCACGGUAAUAUUAAUUAGCCAUAUUAUUUAAUAUUACAAAAAAUAUACAAUUUAUUUAUUUAUUUAUUUAUUUAAUUUUAGAUAAUGUUACCAAAAAUUUCAACAUCUUUUUAGAAAAAAAGAAGAGAGAGUAUAAAUUAGAGAGAGAGCGCAUAAUUAAAAAAAUAGAAAGAAAAAUAUAGUCGAAAUUAGAGGAAGUGAGAGAGUUGAAAUUUUAGAAAAAGAGAGAGAGAGCAAGCUUAGUUUAGAGAGAGAAAAAAAAGUUGAAUUUUAGAGAGAAAAAUAAGUUUAGAGAGAGAUAUAAUGUUAGAGUAUAAAAAAAAAUAAUAUCAAUUAGCCGGCGGAUAGGAAGAAAGAAAGAGAUUAGACAUAUUAUGAUUACCUCAAUCCAUUAAUAAAAGGAUAUCCAUCCUCCUCAAGGGAAUGAGAUUAGUACUUUGGGGUGAAUCUUAUUCCUAAGUGAAUCCAAUAUUACCAACUAGAUUACUUAGUGCGUUUAGCCAAACACUGUCAUAUUUUUUUAUUCCCAUUGGAUUACUAGGAAUCUUUAAAACAUAGCGCGAACCAAACGCACCCUAAGAUUAUUGCACUAACAUUGGGUACAUUAAACUUGAUAGAAUACUUUUCUACUACUUUACUCUUAGAACUAGUUGAAAUCUAAUUGACCAAAUCCUAAUUGUUUUAGAUUGAUGGGCCUGGUUGCAAUUCAAAUAAAUUUGUAGAAUACUUUUGUUUAUUUUAUGUCCUGCUCUGAUGGGAUAUUUACUAGUGAUGUGCAACAAUUUUGGAAUAUCUAACUACAACUAUGGAUUCAGACUGACUUGUGUCCAGUUAUGGGUCAGAACUGUUUUGGGUUUUGAUUUUGUGUCUAACUAUGUAUCAAAACUUAACUGGGUCUUAGCUUUAGAUCUGAUUUUUGAGUCUAAUUAUGGGUCAAAACUAAAUUUGCCUUUGAUUUCUGAUCUACUUAUGGAUCAGAAUAAAUUAUAAUUACAUCUAAUUAAGAUUUGAAUGAUUCUAAUAAACGGCCAGAACUGAAAAAGCACUAGUUAUGAGUCUAAUUAGUUAGAGAUUUUACUUAAUGAGAAUCCUAUUUUGCUAAAACUAAGUUAGUGUUUUUCACCUUCUUUAUUCGAAUAAUAAGAUUAUUCUCUAUGAUUUGAAAGCCUAUAUAUUAGCAAAUUAAACAAAGAAAUAAAAAAUUAUAUAAAACAUUACAUAUAAUAAUAAAAUUCUUUCACAUCAAUAUAUAUUGUUUAAAACAAAUUUCACAUACAAAUAAUAUACUAAAUAUGCAUAUUCCACAAAUUAAAAAAACUAAUUAUUUUCAACUACGUAUGCGCCAAUUGCUAUUGCCAUGCGACUCAAAAGUUCGCGCUUUACUUUUGCAUAGCCGUCCGUUCCCCAAUGACUACCCCAAGAGUUUUUUAUCAAAUAAUAUUUGACGUCGUUUUCUACACCGUAUCCAACUAUAGUCACGGAGUGGCUCCCUCGUUUUUUUUCUCCAACAUGAGGACCCAUAUACACAACCUACAUGGAAAAAAAAAAUAGUCAUUAUCAAAUUAAAAAAAGGUCAUUAUCAAAUAUUAUAUUAUCAAAAGUUAAUUAAAAUUUAUAAGUAUUAGCAUAUAAAAAAUUAUUCAUUAUUAAAUAUUAUAUAUCAAAACUUAAAUUUAUAAAUACUAACAUCUCUCGGUAGAUGAGUAAAGCUGUUAUAUAUGUUUAUGGCAGCAGCAAUAGGUCGUUCUCUCAAAAUUUCUUCGAUUUCUCCCUCAUUAUGUCUUCUUUCCAAUUUGCUCUGAAAAUCUUGAAUCUUCACUCUCUGCUUCUUCUGUAAAAAAUAUUUAAAAUUAUCCAAUAAUUAAUAGAUGUAUUAAUACUAAAUAAGUUUUUUUAGUGUAUAAGUUAACUUACAUCUUCAUUCAUUUGACAAUAUUGGCGUCGUGCAACAUAUGGAUUAUCAGCUUCCAUGGCAAUACCAUAUGUUUUGAUGUACUCUAAACACUUGCUAUGUGUGCACUGUAUACAUCCAACGGCGUCUAUAUGUUGUUCACGGGAAGAUGGAUACAUUUCAUGAUAACAGUUUACUAGCUCUUGUUUUGAUAAUUCAAUGAGUUGACCAUACUUUUUUGCAUAUUCUGCUUCAACUAAAGUGGUGGAAGAAAAGGCAUAGCAACAUUCUUCGUAUAAUUCAUUAAAGAAAAAAAACAUUAGUUAAUAAAACAAUAAUGAAUUGUAUUAAUCUCUACAAAAAAUCAUUCUAUUAAGUAUACUUACGACACUCUCUUUGAUUUCCUACGUCCUCCCGAAUUAUAUUAAUUGGCUUGUCGUAAAUCAAAAGAUGCCUAUCAUAUUAAAACAAAGAUAUGAAAAUGAGAAUUAAGAAAAUAAGUAAUUUCUAUAUAUCAAAUAAAAAGUAUAAUCUAUGAUAAUUUUUGUUAUUUGAUAACUUUUUUAUUGGAAAAUUAGGAUAUUCGCUUAUUUUAACGAACUUAGUUUAUUUUACAAAAUUCAUUUGCAAAUAGCUCGAGGUAAAUUAAUUAAAGAAAAUUUAGUAGAAUUAAAAUUAUUAAAAUAUUAGUUGGUAAAUCAAAACUUAAACUAGAUUAAAACUAAUCCUAUUUUAAAUAGGUUUCAUAUAUAUAUAUAUAUAGCUAACGACUCAAAAUUCUUUUGAGUUAUUACCAUGUUAGUGUGGGUUGCGAGGUGGAGUUAGAAACAGACCCAAUAAAAAUAAUCUUAUCUAUCAAAAAAAUGCACUAUAUAAUUUACAAAGUGCAUGGUUAUGUGGGAGUGAGAUUCUCUUCUCACACUUUCAUUGGAUAAAAAUGUGUGAAAGUACUAUUAUACAUGAGAUUUGCAUUGAUACUUUGGCAGCCAGACUAACUAAAUUUAAAUUAUAUUAAUUACCUAAGGUCUCGUUUGGCAUGCAUUGUUGCUGGUUAUAAGAUUAUCAAGAAAAUGCACUUUGUGAUUUACAAAGUAGUUCAAUGUGGGAGAGAGGUUCUCUUCUCACACUUUUAUUGGAUAAAAAUGUGUGAAGUACUAUUAUACAUGAGAUUUGCAUUGAUACUUUAGUGACAAACUAAUGAAACUUAAAUUAAUUAAUUAAGUAAGGUCUUGUUUGGCAUGAAUUGUUGCUUCUCGUUUGGCAUGCAUUAAUUUGUUGCUAGUUUUUACUUUCUUAAAUAUAUAAAAAUUUUAUGUCAAAAACUAUAAGAUUAAAUGAUGUACUACAUGUAUAUGACUUUUGCAUUGCAAGUUAAACAAAUCAUGAUAAGAAAAGAAAAAUCAUCCUACAGAAAUCAAAUUAAGCAUAUGAAAAUAUAUUGUGUUUGAAAAAAAAAAUUAAAAUAAUAUAAAAUAAAAUCUAAAAUAUUUUACUAUAUGCACCGUCUAAUUGAGUAGCUGAUAAAAUUUAAAGAUAACAAUUUAUCACUACUCUAUAAAAAAAUAAAUAUUUUGAAGAAAAUGUGUAUAAUACUAGCAUUCACGUACGGGAUUUGCAUGGGACCAUGGGUACUUCUCCCACCGUCUAAAUUUGAGUAACUAGAGAUAACUAAAGAAUACACAUGCACGUUAACUACUUAGCUUGAGUUAAUUGAGUGAGCUAUUUUUACGUAUUAGCUAAAUUGGUUCAUGAUUCACUUGUGAGGCCUCUUUGGAGAAAUUGUUGCCUGCAACCAACAUAUAAUGAUGCAUGCAUUAGUGGAAGAAUCUAUGCUUUUAGAUGGAUGAGAUGUAUAAGUUGUGAACCUAACAUAUAUAAGUUGCAUUGCUCAUAAAACCAAGUAAUAAUUUCACAAAAAGUUCAAAAAUUGGUAGUACAAUUAAUGUACCUAAUUUUAAAGUUCAAAUGCGCGCACCAGAAUCUUUUAAAAUUUUGCUCAAUCAUCCAAACUUUAAAAGUUUCUUAUUUGUCAUCCAGAACUUUCAAUUCUUUAACAUUUAACUACUUACUUUAUACUUUGUUAAUUUAAACUGACUGACAAUACCUAAAUGGUCAAGAAACAAUAAACAACACAUGCCAAAGCUAUAGAAAGGAAUUUUUUUUUUUUUUUUUUCCAAUGAUGGAAUUUAGUUUUACAGUAAAAAACAUAUUUUUUAUUAUUAACUAUUAAAAAUUAUAGUGAUAUUCUCAGCAAAAGAAAUAUUAAUGAAGUGUGUUUUUUUUUUUUAUUAUUUCUUGAUCAUUUGGCUAAUUAAUAUUAUAGAAACCUUAAAUAUACAAAAUAUUGGAAAUACGUUCUAGGUGAUAAAUAUAUAAUUUCUGUAGUUACAGAUGGUUAUGUGCAUCAGACUGAAAGUGGAAGUGCAAUCAACCCCUAUUUUCAGACCAAACUUUCCAUGAAUAAAUAGAUAGUUUUAAAAUUUUUACAGUAGUAGUACAUCCAUAUAUACUAGUUAAGGACCCAUGCGAAUGCCGCGAUAUAAAAUAUUCUAAUCAUAAAAUUUAGUUAAUUUUUAUUUUUUAUAAAAAUUUAUUAGCUUGUUUUUUUAAUUAAAUAAGUAAUAAUUAAAUUAAUUUAAAUAAAAAUAACUUAAGUUAGUACAUAUACGACAUAAAUUUUUAUAUUAGAUUAUUAGUGAUCAUCUCGUUAAUAACUACAAAUGUAUAAGUGAAUGUGUUAAAUUAUUAAGCUAAUUACAACACAAUUUAUUAUUUUGUAAAGGUAUGUGUAUCAACUAGGAUUCAAACUAGGAACUUCGGGUAUCAAGUAACAAGUCAUUUGCUGCUUGCGCUAGGGACGGUCGAUAAUGACCUCUCAUAGUUGAAGAGGAGAGUUAGGGUGACACAUGUUUUAUGUGCUUUCCUUAACUCUCCUUUCAGAUAUUACUGGUGAAGGCAUCCACAUGUUACAGUGGAUUGGUACGGCAGAAAUAAAUAAAUAAAUAAAGCUAAAGAAAGAAAAAAUAAUAAAAAAAAGAGUCAAAGAAUAAAAAUAAAAACAAACUAAAAAAGAAGCAGCAACUAUUGCAGUAAAAGUAUAAGAAUAAAAGUAUAAGAAAAGUAAUAAAAAAAAAAAAAGAAUAAAGGCAAAAUAAUAAGAAUAAUAAAUUCAAUUUAUAGCAUCAGUGAAAGUUGAGAAUUAAAAUGUCAUAUGCCUGAGAGUUUGAUUCAGAAAUUGUAACUAAUUAAAGCUUGAGAACUAAUAAUUUGAGCAAGAAAUAAUAAAGCAUUAAAGUUUGAAAAUUAAAGUAUUACGGAUUCUAUAAUUUGAGUAAGAAUUAAUAGCGGCCAUUUGAUAAUCGCCGUUAUCAAAUUAUCGCUAAAUUAUUAUUUUAUUGUAGUGACUGUACUCAUAUAUUUUGUCUUGAAUGAGAAUUCUUUUUAUUUUGGAAGGAUGUUGCAUUCGAUGUGCGAAAAAAUUUCGAGCCCGCUAAUCCCGUGGCGCGUCUUGCCACUCUGGCUCGUUGCCGUCACAUCCUGUCGAGGGAACAAGAAACCGGCAGAUCGCGGAGUUUGCCCACUUUCUCUUUCUCCCUUUCUCCCUAUCUGACUAUUAGGGGUGGAAACGAGCCGAGCUCGAGCGAGCUUAUGUCAGCUGCCGAGCAAGCUUAAUCCGAGCUUUUCGAGCUUAUAUAUAUAUACAUAUAUAUAUCAUCCCGAUAACACGAUAAUCCUCGUGUUGUUUGGAACACAAGGAUUCAAGAAUUGACAGGUAGUUUAAACUAACUACCAAUCCCACUUUCUCUCUUCUCUUUAACUUCUUUUCUUUAAAAGAAGUUAAAGAGAAGAGAGAAAGUGGGAUUGGUGGGUAGUUUAAACUACCCGCCAACUCUUGAAUCCUCGUGUUCCCAUCGGGAUGAGAUAUAUAUAUAUAUAUAUAUAUAUAUAUAUAUAUAUAUUACAUAAAAUUAAUAUAUAUCCAAAAUUAAAUUAAACCCGACAAUAACAACCGAGUAUUUUAUUUGGGUUGUUCAUGUUGGCACGUUAACUCGGGUUGAGUGUUAAAUAUAUUGUGUGAGAGAAAAAGUCUGAAAGUGACAACGUGUAUUGGGAUUUUGCACUAUUGUAAGUUUAAAGGUUUAGGGAUUAAAAAAAGGGGGGGAGAGAGAGAGAAGAGAGAGAGAGUCUGGGAGUGGGUCAAUCCGCCAGUGGGAUCGAGUGUAAAGAACGUUAAUAAAAUAUAAAACUUGAUAACCUGUACAACGUAGUUUAACAUCCAUUACAAGAUAUUUUUAAUUUGAUGACUAAUAUAUUACAGUUCUUAAAGUUAGCCGAGCAAAUCUCGAGCUCGAGCCGAGCUGAGCUUUAAUCCGAGCGAGCUCGAGCGGAGCUUAAUUAAAGUUCAGCUCGAACUCGGAUCUAAAUCCGAGCCUUAAUUAAAGUUCGGCUUAAACNCUCUCCCCCUCUCUCUCGCACGCCACUCUCUCUCUCUCUCUCUCUCUCUCUCUCGCACGAACACCUAUCAUCUUCUAUUGCGCCGUCCUCCCAGGUAAUCAUCACGAUCUCCUUCCCUCCAUUCGUCAUUUCUGUAAAAAAUAAUAUUCAAAUGACCACAACAAGGGUAAUUUUGAAAAAAACUAUACUUUUAUGUCAGGAUUACUAAAUUUUAUAAACUGAACCAAACGUAUUAAUGCUAUAAACACUGUAAUCUAAUAUUACAUUACUGAAUUAAACCAAACGUACUAAUACAGCAUCAGUAGUAAUCUCACGCCGAAAUUCAAGAUACUUGGAUAUGUCGAGAUACUUUGUAAUAUUACAUAACUCGAACCAAACGGGCCCUUAAUAUAAUCAUUCUUCUUCUUUUGCUAUUGUCGUUAUUUUUUUGUUUCGUCUUUUUUCUUCUAAUAACUUUGUUAUUAUUGUUGUUCUUGCUGGUUCUUCUUCUUGGUUCUUCUUCUUUAGCUUCUUUUUUUAUUUUUUUAUAUUUUUACUGCUACUAUAAAUAUAUUUAUUAUUCUUAUGUUUGUGUCUUUAUUCUUUUUUCAUUUCUUUUAUAUUUAUUAUUCUUAUGUUUGUGUCUUUAUUCUUUUUUCAUUUCUUUUUAUGCUUUUAUUCUUAUAUUUUAUUGCACCACCUGUUGCUGCUGCUGCUUCUUCUUCAACUAUUACUUUUUUUCUAAUUCUUUAGUUUCUUUAAAUUUUUUUAUGUUCUUAUUGUUUUUUUCCUUCGGUUUUUUUCUUAUUUAUUUGUCUCCACAUAACUGACUUCCCGCAACGCGCCGGUGUCUUCACUAGUUUUACAAUACCAGCUAGUCUACUACAGACCGUAACCCAAGAACAACUUUUAUAACUUGAGCUCUCUAUAUUACUCUUCAGAUUUGCUAGAAUUCAACUCUUUAAGAGCAGACAACUUAGCAUGCCAUCAAAAUAUCUAGUUUAAUGAUCCGCGUUUUGUCGAUGUCAUAGAUUUCUUUGCAUAAAUACAUGCUUAAUCUGAAAGCGAUAACUUAAUCAAACGAUUUAGUAAUCCAUCAUUCCCAAUUUAAAGAAACCAAAGUUGAUAAAUCUAGUGGAUUAGAAUGGAUUGUCAAACAUGGCCUUCAAAUAAUUAGCUGCAAUAGUUAGGAAAUGCGCGAUAAGAUUGGCAAAGCACAAAACAAACAGCGAGCGAUUUUGUAUCCACUAAACUCCUCUAAAGCUGAUCUAGCUAUUAUGUCCAGAUGAUACAAUUUGGAACUCAGAAUAUGGCAUGUAAAAACAGUUUUCCUAGGGUAAUAAGGUUAACAUGCAAUGGCUAGUAUAACUCAAUUCUUAAUUCUUCACUUAACAACUUGGGACUAACGAAUUUGUCCAGGUCUAAAUCAACAAACCAGAAUUUAGACCGUGCGCAUUUCAAUUUCCGCAACUUGGACCAUUUGUGAACGACAGAGUCGUGCGCGAACAUGUUUGCUUCACAUUAUCAGUUGUUUGGUCGAGAUCUCAGCUGGAAAGUGCAUCUAUAAAGAUAGCANUUAUUCUUUUUUCAUUUCUUUUUAUGCUUUUGUUCUUAUAUUUUAUUGCACCACCUGUUGCUGCUGCUGCUUCUUCUUCAACUAUUACUUUUUUCUAAUUCUUUAGUUUCUUUAAAUUUUUUUAUGUUCUUAUUGUUUUUUUCCUUCGGUUUUUUUCUUAUUUAUUUGUCUCCACAUAACUGACUUCCCGCAACGCGCCGGUGUCUUCACUAGUUUUACAAUACCAGCCCAAGAACAACUUUUAUAACUUGAGCUCUCUAUAUUACUCUUCAGAUUUGCUAUAAUUCAACUCUUUAAGAGCAGACAAUUUAGCAUGCCAUCAAAAUAUCUAGUUUAAUGAUCCGCGUUUUGUCGAUGUCAUAGAUUUCUUUGCAUAAAUACAUGCUUAAUCUGAAAGCCAUAACUGAAUCAAACGAUUUAGUAAUCCAUCAUUCCCAAUUUAAAGAAACCAAAGUUGAUAAAUCUAGUGGAUUAGAAUGGAUUGUCAAACACGGCCUUCAAAUAAUUAGCUGCAAUAGUUAGGAAAUGCGCGAUAAGAUUGGCAAAGCACAAAACAAACAGCAAGCGAUUUUGUAUCCACUAAACUCCUCUAAAGCUGAUCUAGCUAUUAUGUCCAGAUGAUACAAUUUGGAACUCAGAAUAUGGCGUGUAAAAACAGUUUUCCUAGGGUAAUAAGGUUAACAUGCAAUGGCUAGUAUAAUUCAAUUCUUAAUUCUUCACUUAACAACUUGGGACUAACUAAUUUCUUACAAUGUCAUCCUUAAGCAGGAAGAAUUUGUCCAGGUCUAAAUCAACAAACCAGAAUUUAGACCGUGCGCAUUUCAAUUUCCGCAACUUGGACCAUUUGUGAACGACAGAGUCGUGCGCUAACAUGUUUGCUUCACAUUAUCAGUUGUUUGGUCGAGAUCUCAGCUGGAAAGUGCAUCUAUAAAGAUAGCACAGAGAGACAUUAGGUAGGCCAACAAAAUCUGCUUAACUGAAAAUUUGGAGGGCAAAGUAAAUAUCUACCAAACAUGAAGUGAUUACCCCCUAUUCUUUCUAAUUCAUAGUACAAUUCAGACAUGAGAUCUCUUAUUUCUUGCAACAGCUAAAGCCUAUUUCUGCCAAAUAUAAAACUGCAGUACAGUUUGGCCCAAAUAUCUCUUUCAAUUGCCAAAAAAUCAACAAAGAUUAACACUGUAAGUCAUAAAAUUGUUAGAUUACCUCAAACUUGGAAUGCAUUUGGUUCUGAACGACAAUCUAUUAGCGGCAAAGCAUCAAUGGUAAAGCAGCAACCAGGAGAAGAACAGAAUUAUAAAUGACACCUUAAGAUUCUAGAAUUCGCAAACCAUGUACCUUGAAAUUAAACUGAACCAUCAUCAAAGACCAGAAGCAACUCCAUCUACGAGAAAUAAACCUUCCAAAUUGCCCUACCGUUCAAACCUUUAUAUAUGGAUUGGAUCGAAGAACAGGGAAUAAAAAUGCAGAGUUUCCAAGAUCCACAUUUAAUUAACUGUUUGUUUAGCAUGACCAUUUUCUCUAUUGCAAGAAGCAAACAACAGCAUUUGAAACAGGAAAAGCCCUCGUCUUUUUCUAUGGCAGCAAACUGAAAUAAAAUUUCAUUGACUUGUCUGUCUCCAAGAACUAAGUAGGAUUUAUUUCUCACAAAUAUAAAGGCAAACAAGCAAACUCAAUAUAUUGUUAUAUUUCAACUGCCUUUCAGACAAAUACCAGUCAAAAAUUAGUAGAAGCCAAUACCACUUAGAAUAUAAGGGCAACAUAUUUGCAUAAGGUAUGUGUUUUACACUACAAAGUUUUGUAUCUCACACCGAACCCUACAAGUAGAUAAAUUUGACUCUUCACGAGAGCACCAACAAACUCCCAUAUUCAGGAAAAGUAGCAUCUUUUAUUUGUUAAAGCAAAGAUAAGAAGAUAAAAUGCUACAAUAUAACUUGUUAAAGCCUCCAAAGUACUAACAUCAAUAACUAAGAACUUAAAAUAAAGAAAAACCAGCAAUCAAAAUAUAUAUAUAUAUAUAUAUAUAUAUAUAUAUAUUUCCCACCAUUAUGCACGACCAAACAGCACCUGAAUGGCGAAGCAGCCUGGUGUAGAGCAUGACAUUCGGCCUACAAAGCAAAUAAGGAAACAUCUAGUUGUGUUAUUGCAAAGAGACAGAAAAUUUAAACAAACAAGUAUUGCUAAUUAUAUUUCAUUAAUUAGCAUAAUCAUAUAAAGAUAACAUGGAGCAUGUUAUCCAACACUUUAUUAGGAAUACUCUCAGGAAGCAUUAGAAACUAUUCUGCAACAAUUGAUAUGCAAGAAAUAAUUAGCAUCUCUUCCUGAAUCUUAUGAGAAUCAGUAAAAGAUAUAGUCCUCCUAACAAUUCAAAAGCCUCAUCCAAAUUCCUAAUUUUACAAGUCCAAGAAGUUACCAAUUUGGACAAAUAUAUAGCUAGCUAAUGUCGUAGCUGAAAUUUUUUUUCAUUAAAAAAAUUAGCACAAUGAGGAAAAAAUAAAAACUUAACAUAAAACAAAGUUGAACAUUGAUGUAACUAAGCAUUGGAAGUAGAAAUACAAGACGAACAGAAUAAAUAAUUUUAGCAUAGGAAACCUCAUUCUCCUUUUCUACAACAUAUCGCAUGACGCAUGGUUUUCAAGUUAGACAACAGAUAUCGAAUUAAAUAACAAAUGCUCUAAUUAAUUUAAGUACUAUAUACACAAACUAUGACCUAACUAUACAAACAAAUAAAUAAAAAUAUACCUUUACUAACUCGCAGUUGGCUUGAGUCUACAAAGAGCAACUCUAAUGUUACGUUGCACCCCAUAAAACACCUUCGCCUGGAAGAUUUUCCACUCAGCUUCACUGUCAACUGCUUGGAAGGUAACAUAGUACCAAAGUCCUGCUGCGACACUACACGUUGCCUUCUCUAUUUUUACAAACACAUAACUCAUAUCCUACAUUACGAAAACAUCACGAAAUCAAUUUUAUCAAAAAAAAAAAAAAAAAAAAAAAAAACACACAAAGAAAUAAACAAUAAGAAAAGACAUACACAAGGCAACAUGAACAUACAUUUUCCUUAUUAAAAUGUUCGAUUGCCAAUUUAGUACAUCUGAGAAGAAUUUCAUCAUCAAAAUCCGUGAUCGCCGUAAGGCCAAACUCACAAGUGCCUGGAAAUGGAUCAACAUCGAAUCCCUGUAAAAGACAUGUAUUAACAAUUAGUGAAAAAAAGGUUAUGAAACUUUAACUCUCAAAAAGAAGACAAUAAUUAUUAAACACCUCGCUUUCCUUGAUUUGUUUGUAAUAUCUGUCCCAUUCUUCGCGAGUCCUACUGCGAUUACCAUUAGGCCAAACAUAAACCUCAUCUUCCUCUGAAGUAUGCUCAUAAACCCUUUGAUCCUUCUCGUUCCCUUUCUCUUCCUCCAUUUCACUUUGGGUAUCUUCCUCCUUGCCCUCUUCCCUCAUCUCUUCGCUUUCUUCCUGCAGUUUCAACUUCUUCUGCAGCGGCCCUUCAGGUAUCAGGUUCUUGGAAUUCUGCCUGUAUCACAAAAUGAAAUAUAUCUAUCAUAAAAAAUUUAAACAAAUUUCAAUCAAAACUAACGACAAUUUAAAAAAAAAAAAUCUUAAAUUGGCUCAAAUAGAAGAAGAAUUUAGCCGAUGCAUACGAAACAGAGACCAAACAGGGCAUAAUUCAGGUGAUACAUUCCUAGAUUAGGAUUUUCUAAUUACGGAAUAAUAUAUUAUUUAUUUUAAAAUAUUUCAGUUGUUUCCAAUAAAGUGUAAUUAGGGUUAGGUUAUAGAAAUGUGUAUCUUUUAGGGUUUGGAGAAUAAGAAGAAAUUGGUCGUGUUGUUCUCUUCUCCCUUAUCUAUCUUUAUCUCUCUAAUAUCUCUCUCUUUAGGAGGUUCGAUCCCCUCGAAGUGAUCGUUUAUCCCUAUUGAUACUAAUAUCUCUCUCUUUAGGAGGUUCGAUCCCCUCGAAGUGAUCGUUUAUCCCUAUUGAUACUAAUAUCUCUCUCUUUAGGAGGUUCGAUCCCCUCGAGGUGAUCGUUUAUCUCUAUUGAUACAAUACAACGGUAUCAAUUGGCAUCAGAGCCUUGUAUGUAUAGUGUAAACUCCAGCAAAAAAAGAUUUUCUGAAGAAGAUGAAUGGGGAUUUCAUAAGAAAAGAAGAGAUGAACGCUCGGUUUUCCAAUGUGAAGGCCCAACUCAACAAAGUGGAGACCGAGGUAAAGCUCACUAGCGAUUCUAUUAAUGAUCUCAAAAAUUUGAUCAUCCCUAUGAGCACGAAGAUGGAUUUGCAGCCGCAUACGCCAUUUGAAGAUACAUUCGUCUCGAAUUUCGACAAAAAUCAUCCCUUGCUCCCAACUCCUAUUAAGAAGGAAGCAUUGAUCCUAUUCAAAAUGUUCGUGACUAUCAGGCUCGACUCGAAAUGCUUGCCAAUCGCACUUAACAUUUUUCAUAAGUUUCUUGCCAAUCGCACUUAACAUUUUUCAUAAGUUUCUUCAUUAGUGGGCUGAAGGAGGAUCUAAAGUAUAACGUCCGAGCCUUCCGACCAACUUCUAUAUCAGCUGCUAUUGGUCUUGCUCGUCUACAAGAGGAGAAGUUAAUAGCUCAACAUCGUAUUAUGAAGCCUAAGCCUUCCCUUUUGUGCCCUUCCAUGACACCAAUAUCUAAUGAGGCGCUUCCACCCAUAAAGCGCCUUACACCGGCUAAAGCAAAAGUAAGAAGAGAUCAAGGCCUUUUGCUACAAUUGUAUGAAAAAUAGUCCUGGACAUCGAUGAAAAUCAAAGCAACUAUUUUUGAUCGAGGCCGAACGUGAUGAAAACAGAGAAGAUCUAAAGAGGAUAGGCAAAGGUUGAGGAUUUUCCAUCUUGAGGGCAAGGUGGCUAUCGAGGGCGGUGGAAUGACAUAUUCCUAGAUUAGGCUUUUUAAUUAUGGAAUAAUAUAAUAUUUAUUUUAGAACAUUUCAGUUAUUCUCAGUAAAGUGUAACUAGGAUUAGGUUAUAUAGAUGUGUAUCUUCUAGGGUUUGGAGAAAAAAAAAAAUUUGACCGUCUUGUUCUAUCUUCCCUCCCGUUCUCUUCCCUCUUAUCUUAAUCUCUUUAAUAUCUCUCUCUUUAGGAGGUUCGAUCCCCUCGAAGUGAUCGUUUAUCCCUAUCGAUACGGUAGAACCGUAUCAUCAAGCUAAAUUUCGUAAAUAAUUUUUUGGAAGGACUAUUUUUAUAAUUAUAAAAUAUGUUAUAAGUAUAUUAAUAAAAGAAAAGUCAACCAGCCAUCAUAAUCAAAAUAAUCAAAUGCAUAUCAAACGGCACAAACGGCAUUCUAAUCAUUUAUUACAAUCCAAAAUUGAUCAGAGUCAAACACAUAUCAAAAUCGCACAUAAAAAAAAAAGCACAUCCUGACAUAUGUGUACAGAAUAUGGUAACAAACGAGAUGUAUACCUUUGCCAGGUAAAGACAAUCUUCAGGAGAAGCAAGGCCUUCGCGAAUAAAGGCGGUGCGAAGGCACAGGAGAAGGAGACUCAGACUUGCGCUGCAAGUUUUGAUUUUAAUUUAGAGUAAACUUCAAGUCCCAUCCAUGUAGUUUCGCACUUCCUCAUUUUAGUACUCUAUAAUUUAAAGUGUAUCAAUUUAGUGCCCUCUGGUUUUAUUUUUCUCUUUUCAUCAACUUCUUCGUUAAUAUUUCGUUAAAUUAUAUACAAAAAAACUUCAGAUACCCACCUAGGUUUAUCGAAUAUUUACUUUAAUACUCUUUAGUUUUAACUUUGUCAUUGAUUUAAAGAAAAAAAUUAGUAGAAUUGAUAAUAAAAGGAUAAAAAUAAAACCACAGGACGCUAAAUUGAUACACUUUAAAGUAUAAAAUAAUAAAAUGAGAAAAUGUGAAAUCACAGGGGUGAUAUUUGAAAAUUUUCUUUUAAUUUUUAGUUUUUUGUUUUAGCAGUGGGCGGUGGCGUCGGGUGCUUCCCAUACGUGCGCUGCUGGCCCGGUACUUGGCAAAAGCCAAAACCACCUGAGGAACGAAUCACAUCCCCAGUGACGUUUCUGCCCUACUUUUGGAACAAAAGGCCAAAAAAAAAAAAACUUUAAACUAACGUAAAAAAGAUUAUGAACUUUAGUUUUCUUUUUUGUUUUUUUCCCAAUUAGAAUCUUAUUAUUCUAUUUGAAUUGGAUUCUAAUUCGGUUUCAGAUUUUGAAUUCCGAAAUUUUUCGGAUUCAAAUUCAGAUUUACUAUUUUUUUUCCCUAACUCAUAUUCAGAUUCGGAUUCAGAUUCGAAUAUGCAAUUUUGAAAUAUCCCAACAAAACUCUCACAACUUUUUUUUAUUUUAGCUUUAAAUAGAAUUAGGCUGGUAUACUUCCGUGCUACCAAAUUGUUUUCAAUAAUGCAACCUCCAAAUCGACGAUCGGCUCCGUUAGACUUGAUUUAUACUAUUGAAAGUAUUUGAAAACUAAAUUUCAUAAUUUUUCGACAUCAUUUGUCUAGUGAUCAAAAGUUACCAAAAUUGACAAUUUUAAUAGUCGACGUGAUGUAUUUGUGAAUUUAACGGUGUAAAACAAUUCAAAUCUGAUAAAAUCUUUAUAAAAAAUUCUUUUCACUAUUUAGAGUAAGAUCAGUACCUCUGAUCUUAAAUCAAGUCUUUUAUCAUCAUUUUUUAUAAGUUUUUUUAUUUUCAGUCGUUUAUUUUAGACUACUCAUUGAUAGAUAAAUAAUGUCGACAAAUUAUGAAAUUUAGUUUUCAAAUACUUUUAAUAGUGUAGAUCAAGUCUAAUGGAGCCGAUCGUCGAUUUGGAAGCGGCAUCAUUGAAAAUAACUUGGUAGCACUGAGACCUCUGUGCUACCGAUAGUAUACCAGCCGGACUCCUUUAAAUAUUAAUUAAAUAAUAUAAGUGGUAUGGUAUCCAAUGUUGAUUUAGGGGCCGUUUGGUUCAGGAACAAAGCGGGAAUAAAUACUUGUUCCUUUUUUUGUUUCCAGAUGCUAUGUUUGGUACUCGAGAACAAGCAGUUUUCAAGUCUCUGGAAUAAGCAAGUAUAAUCCGGUAUAAGUUUUGAAUUGUUAUUCCAACUUUUUUCUAGAACAAGCUUGUUCCCAAGUAGAAACAAGAUUAAUUAAAGUUUAAAUUUAAUUUUAACUAUGAUAUUAAAUUAUUAAUUAAUCUAAUUAAUAUAUUAGAAUUAUUAUCCAUUGUUUAAAUAAUAAAGUAAUUAAUUAAUUAAUUUAUUAUGUAUAAUUAAUUAGCUAAUUAAUUAUUAAUAAUUUAAUGUGUUUAUCUAUAAAUUAAUUUUUAUAUUGAUCAACCAUUAAUAUUAUUAUUAUUCUAAUUAAUUUUUUAAUUAGUUAUCAGACUAAAAUAAUUUACUAACUAAUUAAAAAUCUAAAUUAUUUUUUAUAGUUAAUUAAUUAAUUGAUAUAUUUUUAUUAUCUUCUAUAAUAUUCAUAGGUAAUAAAUUUAUUAAUUUAUUAAAUUAUUUUAAUUAAUAUUUUGAUGUUAAUUAACAGGAUAAAACAUUUUUAAUUUAAAAUUAUAACUCUUGUUUUUUCUGUUUCAAUCUAAUCAUCCAAACACUAUUUACCUUAUUUUCAAAAACAAUCUAAUUUUUGUCUAAAUGCAAAAUUAGUCUAGUUUCUGUUUAUAUCUAAACUUAUAUCUAUUUGUGAAAUAAGUAGUUUUUACUCGUAUCUGAACCAAGAUUCUUUUUUAUUAGUUCGGUUUGGACUACUAUUGAUGUGACAAACUAUUUAUUUACCUUAUAGUCUCUCUUCUUCUUUUUUUCCUUAUUUCUUUAAUUUAUGUUUUUUUUUUAUUAUUUUGAAGUGGUGGUUUCAUCACAAACAAAUAUCUUCCUUCGUUUCUUUGUCAUUGUACCAUCAACUAAAACCUUUUCUUAAAAUAGAGAUCAAAGGUUGUGACUAUUUGCUUAGGAGGCCGUUUCUAGAAGAAGGAAUGCAAGCUUACAACAAAAUUCUAUUAUGUGCGGAAUGGCAAUCUUGGUGGGUCUGCUCCUACAGGCAACCAUUAUUUGCAGCCGUAAGGUGGAGUGAGGGUUUUGAUGCGGUAUGCUUUGAGGUUGAUCUGAACUUUCAUAGUACAAUCAGAGGUUAAAUUUUGUGUGAAAGUUGCAGAUUUGGGCUUCAGCUCCCUAUGGGAGAAGAGUAAAAUUACGCUGUUGUUUUCUGAAAUAUUGCAUAGCCCCCCGACCUCCACCACCUUGAUAUUUAACAGUUUGUUUUGAUUUUGAGUGACCAAGUAAAUUUGAUUUGCCUAAUGUCUAUCUUUUUUUUAUUUUUUUUCUUUCUUUCUUUCUUUCUUUCUUUUUUUAGCUACUUGCUUUUGCUUCUCCUCUACUUACCACUAUAAUUUUAUGGCCUUUGAAUCAUUUGAAGCAUUUUGGUUGUUUUCAUUUUAGUCUUUACUGUGUCGUGAUUAUCUAACAAACUCUUUAGGUUAGCUGCAAAAGAAGUGCCUUUUAUUGUUGAACUACAAUGGGGGUGCCGUAUGCUGCUCUUGUUGUUGCUAUUAUUAUUAUUAUUAUUGUUGUUGUUGUUGUUGUUGUUGUUGUUGUAGUUCUUCUUCUUCUUCUCUUAUGUUGUUGAACUAUAGAAGGGGUGCUUCUUCUUCUUCGUCGUCGUCCUGCUCCUCCUCCUCCUCCUCCUCCUCUCCUAUUCUUGUUGCUAUUAUUAUUAUUAUUGUUAGAAGGGGUGUAAAGUCUCAUCUUUCAUUUUUUGGCUGGAAAAAGUGGUAAAGUUGGAAGACUUUGCAUUCAAGUAUCUCCUGCACUGCAGGACUAUUUUGGCAGGGGCUACUCGGCAGGCAACCAUUUUGCAUUCAGAUUGACAUUACAGAUAUGAGGGACUAGUGCACAAUAUCCAAGAUUCGAGGGAAUCACAUGCCUCCCAAAAUGAGAUAGAGAGAGGGAGAAAAACUCUUAUUAUCGAUGAAUCGGCAUCUCUGAAACAUGGUCAAAUUAGAGAAAAGCUUUCUAAGAAGAGAGGCGAUGAUGGUUCGUAAUCCUCCUCUCAUGCUCUGCCACUCCCUGAUUUAGUAAUGGCGUGGCAACCCUGGAGGUAUAUUGUCUUAAGGUGACAAUUACAUGUUGUGGUUGUGAGACUGGUUUGUGGACAACAAAUGGCAACCAGGUUGGUAUUCAUUGCUAGGUGGGAGUGGUGAAGACCGAAGAUAGGAGGGAGGCUAAUGGAAUAGUUCCCCUGAGCCUCUGCUUCUAAAUCCUGUUUUAUUGUUCUAUGAAUUAUGAAGGCUUUUUGUGGACUUCUGUCCAUGCAUCUUGUGCAGGUAAUAAUUUCUCGAGCUUAUCUUUUUCUGAUAAGGUUGAGGAUUUUCCAUCUUGAGGACAAGGUGGCUAUCGAGGGCGGUGGAAUGACAUAUUCCUAGAUUAGGCUUUUUUAAUUAUGAAAUAAUAUAUUAUUUAUUUUAAAACAUUUCAGUUAUUUUCAAUAAAAUGUAACUAGGGUUAGGUUAUAUAGAUGUGUAUCUUCUAGGGUUUGGAGAAUAAGAAGAAUUUGACCAUCUUGUUCUAUCUUCCCUCCCGUUCUCUUCCCCCUUAUCUAUUUUUAUCUCUCUAAUAACUCUCUCUUUCUUUAGGAGGUUCGAUUCUCUCGAAGUGAUCGUUAAUCCUUAUCGAUACGGUAGAACUGUCUGUAUCAUCAGGCCAAAUUUCGUAAAUAAUUUUUUUGAAGGACUAUUUUUACAAUUAUAAUAUGUUAUAAGUCUAUUAAUAAAAGAAAAGUCAACCAACCAUCGUAAUCAAAAUAAUCAAAUGCAUAUCAAACGGCACAAACGGCAAUCUAAUCAUUUAUUACAAUCCAAACUUAAUUAAUCAGAGAGUCAAACACAUAUCAAAAUCGCACAUAAAGAAAAAAAAGCACAUCCUGACACGUGUACAGAAUACGGUAACGAACGAGAUGUAUACCUUCGCCAGGUGAAGACAAUCUUCAAUACGUCCAUGUCGAGAAGGACAAUGCGGCGGCGGCGGCGGCGGCGGAUGCCGGGCGAAGACGGGGGGAAGGAUCGGACUUCAGGAGGAGCAAGGGCUUCGCGAACAGAGUCAGUGCGAAGAGACAGGAGAAGGAGACUCCGCCGCCGCCGAUGCCGGGUGAAGACGGGGGGAGGAUCGGACAAGGGCUUCGGGAACAGAGGCGCCGAUGCCGGGCGAAGACGGGGAGAGGAUCGGACAAGGGCUUCGGGAACAGAGGCGGUGCGAAGGGACGGGGGAGAAGGAGACUCAGACUUGCUGUGCACGUUUUGAUUUUAGUUUUAGAAAAACUUCAAAUGCCAUCCUUGUGGUUUUAUAUUUUCUGACUUUAAUAUUCUAUAAUUUAAAUUUAAAGUGUAUUAAUUUAGUAUUUUACGAUUUUAUUUUUAUUUUUUUAUUAUAAAUUUUAUUAAUUUUUUUCGUUAAAUCAGUGACAAAGUUAAAACUAAACGGUAUUAAAAUGAAUGUUCGAUAAACCUAGGUGGGGUAUCUAAAAUUUUUUAUAUAUAUUUUAACGAAAUAUUAACGAAAAAGCUAACGAAAAAAUAAAAAUAAAACCGCAGGACACUAACUAGAUACACUUUAAUUAUAGGGUACUAAAAUAAGAAAGUGUGAAACCACAUGAGUGAUUUUUGAAUUUCACCCUUUAGUUUUCAGUUUUUAGUUUUUUUAUUUUAGCAGUGGACGGUGGUGUCGGAUGCUUUCCAUACGUGCGCCACAGGCCGAUACAGACUUGGCAAAAGCCAAAACCACCUGAGGAACAAAUCACAAUCCCAGUGACGCUUCUGCCCUACUUUUGGAACAAAAUGCCAAAAAAACAGCAAAAAACUUUAAACUAAUGUAAAAAGGGUUAAUUACACCGAUGGUCUCAAAUCUUUGCACUAUUUUUCACUUGGGUCCCCAACUUUUUUUUUUGCAAUUGAGUCCCUAAUCUCUUGAUUUUAUUACAAUCACGUCCCGCCGUAAAAAAUACUGUUAAAAUUAAUGGAAUAGAAUAGGCAUCCUUUUGCAUGUUAAUUUUGGUCCAUAAACUUUGCACGUUUUUCACUUUAGUCCCUAAAAAAAAUUUAAAAUUUUAAUUUGAAAUUCAAAAAUAAUAUUAAAAUUAAAAUUUUAAACUAACGAGAAAUUAGAAAUUUGAAUUUGAAUUUAAAGCUAAAUUAAAAUCUUGAAUUGAAAUUUAAAUUUUAAAUUUGAAUUUUAAAUUGAAUCUAAAAUUUGAAUUCAAACUUAAAGUUUUGAUUUUGAUAUUUCAAUUUACAUUUAAAAUGAAAGUUUUGAAAUUGAAAUUUAAAUUUAAAAUCGUAUUCAAAAUUUUGAUUUUAAAUUUAAAUUUGAAUUCAAAAUUUAAAUUUAAAAUUAAGAUUUGAUUUCAAUUCUAAAUUUGAAUUUAAACAUCGAAUUCAAAUUCACAUUUUGAUUUGAAAUUUCAAAUCAAAGUUUGAAAUUAAAUUAGAAUUUAAAAUUCGAAAUGUGAAUUCGAGUUUAAAAUUAAAAUUUUAAAAUUAAAUGUAAAAUCAGAAUUUGAAUUCAAAUUUAAAUUUGAAUCCAAAAUCAAAAUUUAAAUCUUAAAUUAAAAAUCUUGCUUUAAAUUUAUAAAUGUAAUGGGUUAAUUACACCAUUGGUCCUCAACCUUUACACAAUUUUUCAAUUUAGUCCUCAACCUUUUUUUUUUUUUGCAAUCCGCUGACACCCGCCUCUGUGGCGCUGACACGGCGCCUCCGUGGCGCUGACAUGGUGCUGACGUGGUAUUUUCCGUCAAUUUUAAUACCUUUUUGACGGCUGGGACUUAAUUGUAAUGAAAUCAAUAUAUUAGAGACUUGAUUGCAAAAAAAAAAAGAUUGGGGACCAAAUUGAAAAAUAGUGCGAAGGUUUGGGACCAAUGGUGUAAAUAACCCAAUGUAAAAAAGAUUAUAAACUUUAGUUUUCUUUUUUGUUUUUUUUUUUUCUAAUUAGGAUCUUAUUAUUCUAUUUGAAUUUGGAUUCUAAUUCGGUUUCGGAUUUUGAGUUCCGAAAUUUUUUGGAUUCAAAUUCAGAUUUACUAUUUUUUGCCCCAACUCAUAUUCAGAUUCGGAUUCGGAUUCGAAUAUGCAAUUUUAAAAUAUCCCAACAAAACUCUCACAACUUUUUUUUAUUUUAGCUUUAAAUAGAAUUGGAUUCGGAUUCGAAUUCGGAUUCGAAUAUGCAAUUUUGAAAUAUCCCAACAAAACUCUGACAACUUUUUUUAUUUUAGCUUUAAAUAGAAUUAGGCUGGUAUACUAUCGGUAGUACGGAGGCCUCCGUACUACAAAAUUGUUUUCAAUGAUGCGGCUUCCAAAUCGACGAUCGGCUCCGUUAGAUUUCAUAUACGCUAUUGAAAGUAUUUGAAAACUAAAUUUCAUAAUUUUUCGACAUCAUUUGCCUAGUGAUCAAAAGGUAUCAAAAUUGACAAUUUCAUAAUUUUUCGACAUCAUUGGCCCCAAUUUCCCUUUCAAUUGCCAAAAAUCAACAAAGAUUAACACUGUAAGUCAUAAAAUUGUGAGAUUACCUCAAACUUUGCAUUCGGUUCCGAACGCCACUCUAUUAGCGGCAAAGCAUCAAUGGUAAAGCAGCAACCAGGAGAAGAACAAAAAUAUAAAUGACACCUUGAGAUUCUAGAAUUCGCAAACCAUGUACCUUGAAAUUAAACUAAACCAAAAGCAACUCCAUCUACGAGAAAUAAACCUUCACGUACGGAUCGGAAUAGCAAUUCCAACUGUUUGUUUAGCAUGACCAUUUUCUCUAUCGCAAGAAGCAAACAACAGCAUUUGAAACAGGAAAAGCCCUCGGCUCUUUCUAUGGCAGCAAACUGAAAUAAAAUUUCAUUGGCUUGUCUGUCUCCAAAGAACUAAGUAGGAUUUAUUUCUCACAAAUAUAAAGGCCAACAAGCAAACUCAACAUAUUGUUAUAUUUCAACUGCCUUUCGGACAAAUACCAAUCAGAAAUUAGCAGAAGCCAAUACCGCUUAGAAUAUAAGGGCAACAUAUUUGCCUAAGCUAUGUGUUUUACACUGCAAAGUUUUGUAUCUCACACCGAACCCUACAAGUAGAUAAAUUUGACUCUUCACGAGAGCACCGACAAACUCCCAUAUUCAGGAAAAGUAGCAUCUUUUAUUUGUUGAGGCAAAGAUAAGAAGAUAAAAUGACACAAUAUAACUUGUUAAAGCCUCCAAAUUACUAACACUAAUAACUAAGAACUUAAAAUAAAGAAAAACCAGCAAUCGAAAAAAAAAAAAAAUUUACCACCAUUAUUCACGACCAAACAGCACCUGAAUGGGGAAGGCCUGGUGUAGAGCAUGACAUUCCGCCUGCAAAGCAAAUAAGGAAACAUCUAGUUGUGUUAUUGCAAAGAGACAGAAAAUUUAAACAAACAAGUAUUGCUAAUUAUAUUUCAUUGAUUAGCAUAAUCAUAUAAAGAUAACAUGGAGAAUGUUAUCCAACACUUUAUCACGAAUACUAUCAAGAAGCAUCAGAAACUAUUAUGCAACAAUUGAUAUGUAGGAAAUAAUUAGCAUCUCUUCCUGAAUCUUGUGAGAAUCAGUAAAAGAUAUAGUCCUCCUAACAAUUCAAAAGCCUCAUCCAAAUUCCUAAUUUUACAAGUCCAAGAAAUUACCAAUUUGGACAAAUAUAUAGCUAGCUAAUUGUGGUAGCUGAAAUUUUUUUCAUGAAAAAAAAUUAACACAAUGAGGAAAAUAUAGAAACUUAACAUAAAACAAAGUUGAACAUUGAUGUAACUAAGCAUUGGAAGUAGAAAUACAAGACGAACAGAAUAAAUAAUUUUAGCAUAGGAAACCUCAUUCUCCCUUUCCACAACAUAUCGCAUGUCACAUCGUUACAAAUAUCGAAUUAAAUAACAAAUGCUCUGAUUAAUUUAAAUACUAUAUACACAAACUAUAACCUAACUAUACAAACAAAUAAAUAAAAAUGUACCUCUACUAACUCGCAGUGGGCUUGAGUCUACAAAGAGCAACUUUAAUGUUACGUUGCACCCCAUAAAGCACCUUCGCCUGGAAGAUUUUCGGCUCAGCUUCACCGUCAACUGCUUGGAAGGUAACAUAGUACCAAAGUCCUGUUGCGACACUACACGUUGCCUUCUCUAUUUUUACAAACACGUAACUCAUAUCCUACAUUAUAAAAAACAUCAUAAAAUCAAUUUUAUCAAACAAAAAUAAAGACACAAAGAAAAAAACAAUAGGAAAAGACAUACACAAGGGAACAUGAACAUACAUUUUUCUUAUUAAAAUGUUCGAUUGCCAAUUUAGUACAUCUGAUAAGAAUUUCAUCAUCAAAAUCCGUGAUCGCCGUAAGGCCAAACUCACACGUGCCUGGAAAUGGAUCAACAUCGAAUCCCUGUAAAAGACAUGUAUUAACAAUUAGUGAAAAAAAAAAAGGUUGUGAAGCUUUAACUCUCAAAAAGAAGAUAAUAAUUAUUAAACACCUCGCUUUCCUUGAUUUGUUUGUAAUAUCUAGCCCAUUCUUCGUGAGUCCUACUGCGAUUACCAUUCGGCCAAACGUAAACCUUAUCUUCCUCUGAAGUUGCUCAUAAACCCUUUGAUCCUUCUCGUUCCCUUUCUCUUCCUCUAUUUCACUUUGGAUUUCUUCCUCCUUGCCCUCGUCCCUCAUCUCUUCGCUUUCUUCGUGCAGUUUCAACUUCUCCUACAUCGACUCUUCAGGUAUCAGCUUCUUAGCAUUCUGCUAUAUCACAAAAUGAAAUACAUCUAUACAUAAAAAAUUUAAAUAAAUUUCAAUCAAAACUGACGACAAAUUAAAAAAAAAAUUCUUAAAUUGGCUCAAAUAAAAGAAGAAUUUAGCCGAUGCAUACGAAAUAGAGUCCAAACAGGGCAGAAUUCAGGUGAUACAUUCCUAGAUUAGGAUUUUCUAAUUACGAAAUAAUAUAUUAUUAUUUUAAAAUAUUUCAGUUGUUUCCAAUAAAGUGUAAUUAGGGUUAGGUUAUAUAAAUGUGUAUUUUUUAGGAUUUGGAGAAUAAGAAGAAAUUGGCCGUGUUGUUCUAUCUUCCAUCUUGUUCUCUUCCCCCUUAUCUAUCUUUAUCUCUCUAAUAUCUCUCUCUUUAGGAGGUUCGAUUCCCUCGAAGUGAUCAUUUACCCCUAUCGAUACGGUAGAAUCUUGUUCUAUCUCCCCUCCCGUUCUCUUCCCUCUUAUCAAUCUUUAUCUCUCUAAUAUCUUUCUCUAGGAGGUUCGAUUAUCUCAAAGUAAUCGUUUAUCCCUACCGAUACGGUAGAACCGUAUCAUCAGGCCAAAUUUCGUAAACAAUUUUUUUGAAGGAAUAUUUUUAUAGUUAUAAUCUAUUACUCUUUAUGAAUCCCCAAUGUUUUAAGCUGAUGUGUCAUAACCUCCUAAUUUUGAAUUUUUUUUAAUUUAGAAUGAUCAAUUUUAUUCUCUCUCUCAACAUACGUCUCUUCAUCUCCCCCAUUUAAUUUUUAUUUAGAAUGAGUCAUUUUACUCUCUCUCUCAACAUACGUCUCGUCAUCUCCCCUAUUCAAUUUUUAUUUAGAAUUAGCCAUUUUACUCUCUCUCUCUCAACAUUCGUCUCCUCAUCUCCCUCAUUUUAUUCUCUCUUUCUUAACAUACGUCUCUUCAUCUCUUCCAUUUAAUUUUUAUUUAGAAUAAGCUAUUUUACUCUCUCUCUCCAUCGUUGGUAGAUGUACCAAGUGAGAUAUACAAAAAAAUAUUUAAUAUUUUAUUAUUAUUAAUUACUACUAUAGUUUCUAUCCGCUGCAAAGCGCGGGACUCUUCACUAGUAUGAUAUAAGUCUACUAAUAAAAGAAACGUCACAAACAAACGGCAUUCUAAUCAUUUAUUACAAUCCGAACUUAAUUAAUCAGAGAACCAAACACAUAUCAAAUCGCACAUUCAAACAAAAACAAAAAAAAAGAAAGCACAUUCUAACACAUGUGUACGGAAUAUGGUAACGAACGAGAUGUAUACCUUUGCCAGGUGAAGACAAUUGUAAUGUCUUGAAGAAUAAGUAGUUUAAUAGUUAGUAGGGGAAGGAAGUAAAAAUGUCAACUUUACAAUAGUAAGACCAGAAAUAAGGACGGAAGUAGUAGGCGGAUCGGGCGGUCGAAUUACCGGAUCGGGCGUAAAACGCAGACCCAAGCCCCGCCGGGUUGCGGGUGAUGCGGAGAAGGCAGGAACCGACGCCCACUUACCGUUAUGCAUGGGUCAGGCGAACCGGAGCUCGGAUCGAGGCGAAAUGGCAAACCCAAGACCUGCAGGGUUGCGGGUAGUGAGGAGAAGUGCGGACCCGAGUCCGUUUGCCUGACAAUCAGCAGAAGAGAUCGGGAAAGCCCGGGAAAGGGCCCAACUACCAUGAGAUUUCAGCCCAUACGAGUUUUUCCUCAAUUUAUCACUUUUGCUGUUUAGCCCUCAUAGACUAGGUGCGUUUUUAGUUUAGUCCAAAUUACCAAGUACUAUAAAUACCAAAGUAUAAUGUAAACAGGGUAUCAAUAAAAUGAAAUAUUGAAUCUGCUUCUUCCCCAAACUCUCUUCUUCUCUAAACUCUCUUUUCCCAACUCUUAUCUUUUCUCUACCUCUCAUCCACACCAUGUCUAAACUCUAAACACAAUGAAUAAUUCGCCGUGUUUAAAAAAAUACAAUUAUAUGUAUUACGAAAAAAAUAUAAGUAUUAAAAAAAGGGAAUACAAAAAAUAUAAGCACGGAACAUGGUGAAUGGACCAUUCACCGUAAUUGAACACGAUGAAUGAUUUACCGUGUCUAAGAAAAAUAUAUCAUUUACCGUGUUUGAAUGCGGUGAAUGAUUCACGGUGUUCAACUUAUCACCCCUCCAGCUUUUACAAAAAUAAUUUAUAAAAUUUAAAUUUUAUAAAAAUAUAUUUGUUUGUUAUAAUCGGAACGACGAAAAGUAGAUCCAGAAAAUAAUUUAAUGCAGGAAAAGAAAAGAUAAGGAAAGAGUACACCGAUAUUUACGUGGUUCGGCCAACAGCCUACGUCCACGGGCGAAGACGGAGCAAAUACUUUGUUAAUGUCGAAAAGGCGGAAUACAAAGAAGAUUUCUCGAAAAAUAACCAAAGCUUAAUUAGAUCGAAACGCCGCAACAAGCAACUCCAAAAUUGGCUUCUCUCUCACCCGUACGACGUAUGGCUAAAUUAAAGUAGCCGCGGAUUCUUGACCGUACGAAACGUGCAUAGCUUGGCUUAAUUAGAGUGUGGCUUCUAAUCAGCCGCAGCUCCUGACCGUACGGACCGCAAGACCAACAUGGAUUGCUUAAUUAGAGCCCCGGCAGCUCAGAAUAAUUAGCACAUGGCAUCUAAUUUUGGUCGCGGCAUUAUUAACUUAGCCGUAGCGUAUCUAUUACUCUAUGUGAAUUCCCAAUAAUUUUGCCACGUGGCAAGUUUUUCUCCACUCUCACUAAUCUUUUUUUUGAAUUGAUUUUUACUCUUGGCUUUUCCACUCCCAUCUUCUUUAUUCAAUGACAUGUAAUUAAUGUGCUUUUUAAUUUAUACGUUUCCUAUUCAAAAUUACUUUUUUUGAAUUGAUUCUUACUCUUGGCUUUUCUCCUCCCCUCCUCUCUAUUCAAUGACAUAUAAUCAAUGUGCUUUUUAAUUUAUACGUUUUCUCUUCACAAUUAGUCCUUUCUUCUCCCACAAAUAAUUCCUAACAUGCAAAAUUAGAAAAGGAGAAGAUGAAUAGUUACUACUUUCAGAUCUAGAGAUUGGGGAAUAGUAAGGGAGUUUUCCAAGCUCUAAUCCGUGCCAAUCCGACUCGACCCGAACCCCCCCCCUCCGAAUCAAAAGAGUGUUUAUAGGGUUUCUAUUAAUGCCGAUCUCUUCGGAUUUAUGGAAAAAUAAGGUAAUCGAACGGUUUUUCAAUAGAGAAAGCUAAUUGGAGAGCAAUAAUGGACGGUUCGAGGGGUAGGUUUGGAAAACGAAAAUCCUAAACCUAAUUUUUCUUUUCUUUAUUUUAAUCUCGAAUUCUUACUAUGUAUUCAUUUAGAAUUUAAUUUAUUUGCAUUAUUUUUUAUAUGGUGAUUGUAUCAAUUAAGGACUUGAUUUAUAUGCAUUAUUUUGAUUAAUUUAGAGGUUAUUUUUUAUUUCAUAAUUGAUGUGGCAGGUUUGGCCCACAACUUUUGAUCAUUCCAUGCUCAAAAGGGUGCAAAAUUUUGCAAAUUUUUAUCAGAUUUUCAUCGCCAUCGUCGUCAUCAUCGCAACAUUAUUAUCUCCAUCUUCAUACGACCUUUGUAGGUUUUUUUUUUUUGAAUGUUGAUUCUGGGCAGUUAUCAAUUUUCAAUGGCUAUAUUGGUUAGUUCAAUUCAUACGUUUCCCUACCCAAAAAAUAAAACACUCUUAAAUUUUUAUUUUCCAAACUUCUUUCUUCUUACUCUUCAAUAUUUUUUAAUUUUUUUUCUAUUAUUUAUCCGCGGCAUCGCGCGGGUUAGUACACUAGUAUAUAUAUAUAAUACAUGUUUUCUAAUUAAAGUCUAAUUCUAAUUAGAUUAGAAUUACACUCCUAAUUAUAAUCUAUAAAAUAUAUAUGCUAAAUUAAAUCUAAAUUAUAUCCAAUCCCAAAUAAAUUAGGAUUUAACUCUAAUUUAGAUAACUACAAAUCUAAACCAAAUAUAAAAAUAAUUUACUAUAUUUUGGCAACCUGUAUGUAAUUAACCUAAAAAUUUUCGUCUUAUGAGUGGAGGAGGACAUCAGUAAUUAAAGGGCUUUCUUUGCAAAUAGCCCCCUGAAAAAUUUUAUUUGCGCAAAUAGCCCCGUCUAAAAAUUAUUUGCAAAAAUGGCCCUGGCCCUGCCACGCCAGCGCCACGUCAGCGCCACGCGAGCAGGGCCUGGGCCAGGUGGCUAAGUUGAACACGGCAAUUGGUUCACCGUGUUUAGACACGGUGAACCAAUCACCGUGCUCAUUGUAUUACUCCCGCCCACGACGGGGUGUUAGUAUUACAUUAGACACGGUGAUUCGUUCACCGUGUCUAAACACGGUGAACCAUUCACCGCGUCUAAACACGGUGAACUAUUCACCGCGUUUAGACACGGUGAACCAAUCACCGUGUCUAAUGUACUACACACCAUUUCGCGGGUGCCAAAUAAGGCAUAGAACACGGUGAUUGGCUCACCGUUGUAUUAGACACGGUGAACCAAUCACCGUGUCCAAUGUAUCACUCCAGCCCAAGGCGGAGGGUUGGUACCACACUUAAACACGGUCGAUACGUUCACCGGGUCUAAACAUGGUGAACUGUUCACCGCAUUUAGACACGGUAAACGGUUCACCGCGUAUAGGACACGGUGAACGGAUCGCCGUGUCCAAUGCAUGGGCCGGGUGCGGCUGCGAGAAAAUCUAACACGGCCUGGCCCAGUUCGUUAACCAAGCGCCUAUGGCCCAAUAAAGAAAGUCGGGCCAGAUCUAAAAGUGCGGCUGCGAGAAAAUCUAACACGGCCUGGCCCAGGAACCGAAUCAAUGCACGGGCCGGGUGCNCCUGGGCCAGGCCGUGUUAGAUUUUCUCGCAGCCGCACUUUUAGAUCUGGCCCGACUUUCUUUAUUGGGCCAUAGGCGCUUGGUUAACGAACUGGGCCAGGCCGUGUUAGAUUUUCUCGCAGCCGCACCCGGCCCAUGCAUUGGACACGGCGAUCCAUUCACCGUGUCCUAUACAACCCUAUACCCCGAAAAUGGCUAAGUCUGGUAAACCCUAAACCUUCGAAAAUGGUUAAGUCUGGUAAACCCUAAACCUUGAACUAACUGAAUUGGACACGGUGAACCAUUCACCGUGUCCAAUACAACUAGCCACACCUAAGCCGUAUUUGGCCAAAUAUGGAAGUAAAGGACACGGUGAUUAGUUCACCGCGGUGAAUAGUUCACCGUGUUUAGACACGGUGAAUGAAUCACCGUGUUUAGACACGGUGAACGAAUCACCGUGUCUAAUGUAAUACUAACACCCCGUCGUGGGCGGGAGUAAUACAAUGAGCACGGUGAUUGGUUCACCGUGUCUAAACACGGUGAACCAAUUGCCGUGUUCAACUUAGCCACCUGGCCCAGGCCCUGCUCGCGUGGUGCUGAUUUGGCGCUGGCGUGGCAGGGCCAGGACUAUUUUUGCAAAUAAUUUUUAGAUAGGGCUAUUUGCGCAAAUAAAAUUUUUCGGGUGGCUAUUUAAUUGAAAUUUUCGUCUAAUAAGUGAGGGAGGAGGCCAUCAGUAAUUGGUGUAUUCUAGACUCUUUCGUGUCUUCGGGAGGUACAAGGCGUGCUCCUUUUCUUGCUAUGACGAACUCCCACAUCACCAAAGAGAGGGGAAAAAAAAAAAAAAAAGGAGGGAGAAAACACAUUUCUCUCUCCUUUGAUCCUUUCCCGGAAACCAAACAUCGCAUUACAGAAUCUGGCAAUGGCGGGGCAGCGCGCUGGAUGNGGCCAUCAUUUAUAAUGAUGAUGAUUAUCAUCAUAAUCUUUAAAGGCGCUUCGACUUCAUGUGAGGAUGCCUCCGUUGUCGACGGCAUUGGAUCAGCAUCUUCUUGCUCCCUUUCAUAUUUUUUGAUCCUGGCUGAAGUAACUAUCAUCAUUUUUUCUUUUUCUUUUUAUUCUACUUCUCCAUUUCUCUUCUUGAUGCCUCCUCUUCCUCCUCCUUGUUGUUGUUACUGUUACUGUGUUCGUGUUGGUGUUGGUGUUGGUGGUGGUGGUGGUGGGGGUGGGUGGAGCCUACCGUCUCCCCGCCCUAUCCUGAAAGGUUUCAGGAAAACCCACAAAACUUCGCCUUUCGGGGUAAAGAUGUAUAAAACUUUCCGCAACUAUCAUCCUUUUCGAUCUGACUACCUAACAGUUAAAAGUUUGGAUUUUACUACCCGUUCUUUCAAUUUAUUUGAUUUAAGCCGAUUAGUAAGCAACUAUGAAUUCAUUAAAGUAAGCAAUUAGUUUAAAUUUUGAAGUCCGAUUAUCGUUGACCGACUCAAAUCGAACAAAUUGGAAAGUUCGGUGGUAAAAUCAAAAUUCUGGGAGGUCGGGUGGUCGACUCAAAAUGAGGCAUUUAGGUUCUCGCAGUUGGUGCUUGGCAUGGUCAUGGUAAUCUUGGAAGGCUCUGCUCUUCUACAGGCAACCACUUUUCCAUGCGAUGUCUUGUGGUGUACUGCAGUACUGUGUUUCGUACCAAUUUUUCCGUGCAGGUGUUUUGGAGCGGAAAUUGGAAUCAUGGUAGAUCCGACUGGAACCGUUGGGUUUGCUUAGACUUGCUGAAAUCACUUCAAACCGGUGGAAAUCAAUUCAAACCACACCUGCUAAUGUUUCCAAGGAUUUACAUGUUCUUGGUUGCAAUUUCAUCCAAAUCAGUGAUUUGGAGGAUCCGAAACUGGGUGCAAAGGAGGCUGUGAUGGUUGCCAACCUGGGUGCUAAUGCUUUGUCCAAGCCAUUUCUUCUUUACCCAGUGUAUACAGCGAAAACAGCUCUUUUAAUAUCAUUUCUUCUUCGGCAAAUUGGAUGGUCUGCUAAUUUAGCAGGCAACCUUAUGCUAGCAUCCAUUGUUAUGGUGCAUGGAUUUUAUGAUGCUUUCUGAGUAAGGCCGGGGAAAUGGUUGUGAACAAACAAAUUGAGGCUUUCGGUGGGUCUCUUGCUGUGUCAUCAACCAUAAUAUUGAUUAGCGACAUAUUGCCGUUCACUCAACUUAAUUGGCUUGUGAGACUUGAUAGCAACAAUCAAGAAAGUUCGAGUCGAAAUUGCAACAAUUAUAUUUUGAGGACUAAAGUGUUACCUGCCUCAUUGUUUGAGGACCAAAAGUGUAAUUUAGCCUUAUUUUAUCUAACAAACCACUGAGCAGGUAAGAAUUUUCUUGCUAAAUUGCAUGUUUGGUCCUCAAACAAUGUGUAACACUUUGGUUCUCAAACUUUAAUCUGUUACAAUCUAGCCUGAACUUUUUGAAUUGUCGCAAUCAAGUCCUGCAAUCCAAUUUAGAUGACUAAAUAUUGAUGCAUCAUUGAUGUAAUAGUGAUGUGACAUUUUAUUUUUUGUCUCAUCAUCAAUUACCAUAUUGCUACCGUCACUUUCACAUUACCGACAUAUCAAUAUUUAGUCAACUAAAUUAGAUUGUAGGACUUGAUUGCAACAAUUUGAAUCAGAAAUUACAAUAAAUUAAUGUUUGGUCCUUGUCAUGUGUCUCAAAGUUUGAGGACAAAAUGUGCAAUUUACCCUAAUUUUCCUCAUCUCAGUGGCAGCUCUCAAUUGGAAGGUCUGCUGUUUUGCAGGCAACCUUGUUCUGUCAUUUGUCUUCAAGGUGCAUAAGACUCUCAUGAUGCCUCUUGAUAUGAUCAAAUGGCAUGUUGAACCCUCUCUUUCCUUCUACUUGAAACAUUCGUUCUACUUUCUUUUCAGCUUUUAAUAUUUCUCAUGUCGACCGUCCGUGUGUCCUCAUGUUGACUGUAUGCUUCAAUCAGACAGGCACUUAAUGUUUUAUCCCAUGUUAAGUAUUUUUUUCCCUUCAUUUUACUUGUCAAAGGAGGCUGUGAUGAUUGUCGGUUGGGAAUGCACCUCAGCUUAUUUUAUCCCGGCUUUUGCUUCUCGGCGGAGUACAGAAGCUGAUAAGGAUACUGGAUAUAAGAGGCAAUAUAGUCAACUCAAACCUAAGAUUUUGGUUGGGUUUUGACAAGUCGGGUGGGAUUUGAAUCUGGUUUGUUAGUUUGCUUUGUCCUUUUACAACCCUUGGGAGCCUUUCACUUUGUUCAUUUGUGGGAUAGACAACAUCUCAGUGGGUGGUUUUUGGCUGACAUGAUGCACCAGGUGCAGGCAAUAAUUUUUCCUUUCUGGGCAGCUCGUGAGGCCAACAUUAAGUACCCGUAGCAGUAUUUAAUUGGAAGGCCUUGCAGGCAAGCCUAUGCUGUCACGUCUUUAAGGUGCAUGAGAUUACAAGAUCCCUCAUGUGGUGAUUAAGCGGCAUGUCUGAGUCUCCAUUUUAUUUUCCUACUUCCUUUUUAGCUAUUGAGAUUUGGUUGUUCACGUUUGUUUUCCCCCUCGCUUUCUUACUGCAUAUAGAAGCUAGGAUGGGUUGUUUUAAAUAUUCCUUAUCAAACCGUUGAAACAUGACUUCAUGCUGGUUGAUGGUAAAUUUUCUAUCCUAUAUGUAUUCAGAUCAGAGGGAAUUUGUUAAUCUUUCGGAUUUUGAUAAGAACUAAAUAUAAGAAAGAUUUGGAUGCUAGGUAUAUAAAUAUUUGGGUUAAUUUCUUCAAUCCCUUCCUUAAAGAUUGUAAUUUCAUAAAGACUCCUUCAAAUUGUAAAGGGUUUAGGGUUGCAUGCAUACAUCUCUCUCUUUUGCAUCUGAUCGACAUCAAGUUUCUAUAUUUAUAUUGGGUUUCUUUGCAUUUUAAAGUUAUACAAAAUUGUUGCAGGGCAUGCAAUCAAAACGGUUGCUCAAUCAAUAGCUUCACUUGAGCCCUAUUAUGUUAUUUGAUAAAGUUUUGGGAUUUAUUUGUUAAAAAGUAGAAGUUUUAGCACCUGUUUGCAAAAGUGUUAGAGUUUAGGGAGGCUUUGUACAUUGUUUCAAUUAUUAAUGUUUACUAAAAAAUGUAUGUUGGGCGCAAACAUUGCAUCCUUUUGGGCUAUUUAGAGAGGCAAAAUACUGUGAGCCCUCAAUUACGGAUGUAUGGGUAUGCCUUCGAGGCGAUACGAGCUAGAGAGCCUAUGUUGGGGGAAAAACAAAGUACUGGGCGUGCUCCCUUCUUGCUGCAAGCUCCUCUGUCUCUUCACUCCCACACUGAGAAACCAAACACCCCCUUAGAGAAUCUGGUAUUGGCGGGGCAGCAUUGGAUGGUUUGCUGUUUGUAGGCUACUGAGCUGCAGCCAUUAUUCCAGAAUUGGUGCGGCAACGGCAGCGGUGGCGAUCAUUUUGUGGCCAUCAUUUAUAAUGAUGAUGAUUAUCAUCAUAAUCUUUAAAGGCGCUUCGACUUCAUGUGAGGAUGCCUCCGUUGUCGACGGCAUUGGAUCAUCAUCUUUUUGACACCUCUCAUAUAUUUUGAUCCUGGCUGAAGUAACUAUCAUCAUUUUUCUUGUACUUAGCCAUUCUUUGCUUGAUGCCAUUUUGUUGUUAUUGUUAUUAUUAUUAUUAUUGUUAUUGUUAUUGUCGUAGUGGUGGUGGUCGUGCAGGUGGGUGGAGUCUGCUCUCUCUCUGCCCCCUGUGAAAAGGGAAACCCACAGAACUUCGUUCUGUGGGGUUGACCAAGCCUUCUCUCUCUCUCUCUCUCUCUCUCUCUCUCUCUCUCUCUCUCUAUAUAUAUAUAUAUAUAUAUAUAUAUAUAUAUAUAUAUUGAGUUCGGCUAUGGUGCUUUUAAAAGCACCAAGCACUUGGUCCUUGUAAGUUUUUGUAAGUUUCCCAUUGUUAGAUUUAUCUCUUUGACCAAUUCCACCCCUAAGAUUAUACUAUUCGACCAACUACCCGCUCAAAUCUUGGGGACAACUAUUAUCCUAACCCUACAAAUCUUCAUCCUAGGCCGAAAACCUACAAGCACCAAUGACUUGGCACUUUUAAAAGCAUAGGAGCUCAAUUCUAUCUAUCUAUCUAUCUAUCUAUCUAUCUAUCUAUAGACAUAUAUGUAUAUAUAUACAGUUUGUGUGUGGGGAAUAUAAGGGGAAAAAAAACAACAAUCAUGCCACAUGAGGCAUUAAGUUUUCAGCGGUUGGUGCAUGGCAUGGUAAUAUUGGAAGGCUUUGCUUCUCUGCAGGCAACUAUUUUUUCAUGUGAUGUCUUGCUUAGACUUGCUGAAAUUAUUGAGAACAAGCUUAUUAAAGCUUUCGAUGAGUCUCUUUCCACGUCAACAACCACAACACUGUCACAUUACUGUUGCAUUAGUGGGACAUUACCGAAAGUAAGUUGGCCUAUGAAACUUGAUUGCAACAAUCAAAAAAGUUUGAGCUAGAAAUUGCAGCUAUUAUGGUUUGAGGACCAAAAGUGUAAUUUAGCCUUAUUUUAUAUAACAAACGACUGGGCAAGCAAUAAUUUUCCAAUCUCGGCACCUAUAACUGCACUCAAUUGGAAGGCCUGCUAUUUUGCAGGCAACCUUGUUAUGUCGGUUGUCUUCAAGGUGCAUAAGACUAUAUGAUGCCUCUUGAUAUGAUCGAAUGGCCAGUCGGAGCCUCUCUAUCCUUCUACUUCCUUUUCAUCUAGUAAUAUUUCUCAUGCUGACUGUCGAUGUUCUCAUGCUGACUGUAUGCUUCAAUUAGACAGGCCCUUAAUGCUUCAUGCAAAUGUUAAGGAAGCGUCUCUCCUUUAUGUUACGUUUCGAAGGAUGUUGUGAUGAUUGGCGGUUGCGAAGGCACCUCAACUUGUUUUUUUCUUGGCUUUUGAUUCUUAGAGCGUGUUUGGUUCACUUCUUUUUCACUCUGGAAUCGAAAUCGGAAUGGGUGAAUCUGUUUGUGGGUGUUUGGUAUGCGGGAGUUCCAUUCCCAUUCCUAUUCCCGAGUGGGAUGGGAAUCCCCUAAUCAUCUCUUUUUCCAAUCCGGUCUAGUAGGCCGGAUUGACAGUUGAAUCCAGACGGAAUGGAUAUUUAUUCGGAUUAAAUUAAUUUUUUCAACUUUUUUAAAUUAAAAUAUGAGUUUAAAUUUAGAAAUUAAAUUUAUAAUUUUAAAUUUUAAUUUGAAUUUGAAUUAAAAAUUAAAAUUUAAUCAAUUAUUUUGAAUCUAACUUAUAAAUUUGAAUUUAAAUUAAAUUUUAAUUUAUAUAAAGUUUUAUUCAAAUUUUAUUUAAAACUUAAAUUAAAUUUAUGGAUUCAAAUUAAAAUUAAAAUUGUAAUUUUAAGUUUGAAUUUGAAUAAAUCGAAAUUUAGUUUUAUAUUUUGAAUUAUCCACUCAACUUCAAAGUUUAAUUUUUUAAAAAAAAAUAGAUUUAAAAUUUUGACAUUAUUUCAAAAUUUUGAUGUAAAUUUUUAAUAUUUAAUUUUCAGUUUGAAUUUAAAUUAAUAUAUUAUAAAGAUAAAGUUAGUAUAUUAAUUUGAUUACGUUUUUUAUAUCUAUCUGAACAAAACACCGACAAUGGGAAUGAUUUAUUCCGAUUCCGAUUCAGGUAAUGAAUCAAACAGAAUUAGGUAAUGAGUCAUUCCAAUUCUGAUUUCAGCUUAUUUCGAUUCCGAUUCUGAUUCCGAUUCCAACUUCGAACCAAACGCGCCCUUAAUGGAGUGCAGAAGCUGAUCGAAAUACUGGAUAUAAGAGGUAGUAUGGUCAACCCUAAAAACUGCACUUUUGCAUUAAAAAAAAUCCCUUUCAUGAAUAACUGUAGAAACGGAUGGUCUGCACUUUUGCAGGCAACCUAGCAGUUACAUGCUGUUUUUUGUGGUUUGUACUUUUAAGCUGUUUCUUUGCGACAUCAUUUGCCUAGUGAUCAAGCAAUGCCAAAUACAUCGUAUAUUAGACAUUAAAAUUGUUGAUUUCUGGACAACUUGACUACUUAGCAAAUGAUAUCAAAGAAUGAUGAAGUUUGAAACCUAGAAAGUUGAAAUAUCCUAGAUCAUGUUUGACGGUGCUGAUGGUCUAUCCAGAUGCCCCAUUAUCGGAAAUGACACGGAAGUGAGCUGUACUUGUAGAAGUAUUCUAGCCUCUCCUUUUCUCUCUCUCUCGAUCUCGAUUUUCUAGGUUGAAAUAUAGAGCAAAAAGUUGGUGGUGGCACUAUUAUGGAUCAAUAAGGUCUAAGGUUCACUUCUUGAAGAUCCCCCUGCUCCCCCCCCCCCCCUUCAAAAAUAAACAAAAAAAAAACACACACACACACACACACACACACACACACACACAAAAAGGAAAAAAAAAAAACUCAAAAUGCAGUUCCUCGUGGAAACUGGCUCCUGCUCGGCAUGCUAUCUUGAACGGCUAGCUCCGAUGCAGACAACCAAUAUUUGCAUCUAUACAGGGGAUUUUAAUCCUCAGUUUGCUAUUUUGAAGCAACAAGUGUCGGAUUGUACGUUAUCUGAAUGUACAUGUUCUUUGAGGAAUGGCUAUGAUGACUGCCUGGAUGCACCAGAACUGAAGCAUUUGACUGAAACGUAGCUUGGCAAUCUUUGGAAGGCUUGCAAUUCUGUGAGCAACCAUUAUGCAGCUGUUUGUGUAGUUCUGUGAAGAUUCUGAUGAAAAGGCCAGAUCUGAGCCACCUCCCUUCUCAGCAUCAUCUUCGUUAAAUUAUGAAAAGCUUUCUUGUACUUUAUCCUCUGUCACAAUUAUCUAACUGCUCGAGAAAGAUGGACUGUAGACAACCGUCCGCUUGUAGACAUCUUUGACUCUAUGGUAAACAGUUGCGACAUGUUUGUUGGGUAAAUGAAAGAAAUAUGUUGAACAAGAUGGUUGUGUGUCGAAAGAAAUGAUCUGUGCUGCUGUUUAAAGCUGCAUUCUUAUGUCUUUCCAUGUGGCAGCUGUGAUGAUUGCCAAGUAUGGAAGCAUCAAAACCCUUGAACAUUAGACUACACUUUGAUCUGCACAGCGUGGCAACUUUUGGACGGCUUGUUUAGCAAGCAUCCAUUUUGCGUUUGUAUGUGUAGUUCGCAAAUGCUCAUAAAAAUGGGGUGAAAAUGUGCAGAACUUAUCUGAACUAUGGACCAUUUCGAGAAAGGCAGAUUGUAGACAACCGUCCGCAUGUUUGUUGUGUAGACAUCUUAGACUCUAUGGUUAACAAUUGCGGCAUAUUUGUUGGGUAAAUAAAAGAAAUAUGUUGAUGGUCAUGUGUCAAUAGAGGCUCUAAAUUUGCACUUUUGUUCUGCGCCACAAAUGAGCUGUGCUGCUGUUGAAAGAUGCAUUGUUACCUCUUUCUAUGUGGUGGCUGUGAUGAUUGCCAUGUAUGGAUGCACCAAAUCCCUACAACAUUUGACUAAACUUUGAUCCGCACAGCUCGGCAACCUUAGGAAGGCUUAUUUUGCAAGCAUCCAUUUUGCUUUGUAUGUGUAGGUUUGCGAAUGCACACAAAAAUGGCAGAUCUGAGCCACAGCGUCUAAAUAUCUCCUUUUCCUUGUUUAGAACUAACAAUUUUUUACCCCUUGCUUGCUCUUGUUUAAAGAACUUCUGUUUGCUAAAUCGCCUCUUGCAACAAGGUGGUUAGUUGAUAAGAGGAAAAAUGUUCCUUUAUGACAAUAUAUGUUUUUGAAGUUUAGUGGUGAUAAUUACACCGCAGUUGGAGGGGGUUUGGCAUAUUUUUGUCUUUAAAUAUGGCCCGCAGGUAGUGUAGUUUUAACAGAGCAUUAGACCUGCCUGGCAGGAACAUUGGAUGGCCUGCUUAUAUGCUGGCAACCAAUUUUUGAUGCUGUAAGCUGGAGUUUGUACCGAGGUUCGUAUUAUUAGCGUUGAGCAUCGCGAUGUAACUUUUUGUAGUUGUACAGAGCCGAAGAAUUGCUCUUUUGCAUCCUUCUUCCUUAGUGGGUAAUCAAAAUUUCCACAAAAUUGGAACUUCAAAUCUCACUUCUUUCAAGUUUAUCCCCAAACCGGUUUUCUAUAAAAAUAAACUGAACAUGCGACUUCGGCAAUGCUGAGGACUCAUAGGGGUGACACGGUCGAAUACGGUCGGAUUUUUGAUGAAACCAUAUCCGUAUCCAUUUCGUAGGCUAAUUCGGGUAUGAUGAUGUUGGAUUCGAUCGGAUUUUAUCCUAACCAUUUUCACCCCUACUUGUGGUACAUUUAUUCAGAGGAAAAAUACUCUUGAGCCCUCCAAUGAGGGAUGGACGGAUGGAUGGACGGACGGGUACAUCGCUAAGGCGAUACGAAAGAGAGAACCCUGCGUUGGGGACAAGCAGAAAUGCAGGGAUGCUCCCUUCUUCCUGUAAGUCCCUCUGUCUCCUACUCUCUUCCACCCCAAAAAAAGGAAAAAAAAAAAAGAAAGAAAGAAGAAAGUCAUUUGUCUCGUUUCCCAUCUCUUCCUUUCCUCAAGUGUUUUUAGGUUAGACAGGGAAUGUGGUAAUGGCGGGGCAGUUCUGGACGGUCUGCUCUUCUGCAGGCUACUGAGCUGCAGCCAUUACUCCGGAAAUACAUUGGCGGGAGUGACGGUGGUCAUUCAUAAUGAUGAUGAUGAUGAUGAUGAUGAUGAUGAUGAUGAGGAUUAUAACCUUUGAAGGUGCUUCAGCUUUGUCUGAGGAUGCUUCCGGUGUCAAUGGCACUGGAUCAUGUUCCUCUUGAUACCUCACCUAUCUUCUUGAUACCUCACCUUUUUCUUGAUCCUCAUUAAAGCAGCUAUCAUUUCCUCCUACUUCCUUUCUUGAUGCCCUAUUGUUGUUGUUGUUGUUGUUGUUGUUGUUGUUGUUGUUAUCAUUAUUAUUAUUAUUAUUAUUAUUGUGGUGGUGGUGGUGGUGGGGGUGGAUGGAGUCUACCAUCUCCCUGCCCCUUCGUAAAAAGGGAAGCUUUCGUUUCUCGGGGUUGACCGAGCCCACACAUAUAUAUGUGUGUGUGCGCGCGUGCGCUUUUAGAAGCAUAUACUUUGAACUUUUGGACCCUUGGAUCCCUAUGGUUUACUAGCUAGUGAUGGUUAAAGUACGGAUCCAAGGGCUCAAAAGUUUAAGUUGUAACUUCUCAAAGCAGCAUAAGCUCUAUUCUAUAUAUAUACACACACACACACUGUUGGUGUUUGAGGGUUGGAAAAAAAAAAAACAACAGGAACAAUUCUAGAUGAGGGCUAAAGUUUCAGCAGAAGGUGGAUAGCAUGGUUAUCUUGGAAGGCUCUGCUGUUCUGCAGGCAAGCAUUAUUCUAUGUGAUGUCUUGCGAUGUACGAGAAGAGAUAUCUAUUCCUUUUUCUCAUGCAAUACUCUGUUUGGUGCCAAAUCAUUAUAGAAUUGAAUAUAUUUGCAAUUCCAUGAGGGCAUUUGUAUUGCAGAAAAUGCAAACUAUGGCAAAUCUGACCACAAACCAGUGGAUUUGCUUUAUCGGAAAUAAAUUUAAAGUACACCUGCUAAUGUCUACAAGGAUGAACCAGUUCUUCUUGGCAAUUUCAUCCAAAUCAGUGAUUUGGAGGAUUCCAAACAGGGAAUGAACAAGGCUUCGAUGAUUGCCAAUCUGGUUGCCCACAGUUUGCCCUUGCCGUUUCUUCUUUACCAUUGUACAGUGUAAACAUCUCUUAUAAUAUCAGUUGUUCCGUAAAUUGGAUGGUCUGCUAAUUUAGCAGGCAACCUUUGAAGCUUUUGAUGAGUCUCUUGCCAUGUUAUCAAUCACAGUACUUCUACAUCACUCCCUUAUCAGUGAUACAUCAUUUAUUCUACUAAAUUGGACUAUGGAACAUGUUGCAACAAUCAAGAAAUGUUGAUUCAGAAGUUGCAACAAAUUAAAGUUUAAGGACUAAAGUGUCAUCCGCCUUAUUGUUUGAGGACCAAACGUGUAAUUUAGCCUUAUAUUAACUUACAAAGCACCCAGGAUAAAAAGAAAGUACUGGAUUUUUUUUUUCCCCCUAGAGAAGCUUUCAAUGGCUUGCGAUGCAUCUGCUGUAUGCAAUAAUUUUCCUAUCUCAGCUGCUCACUAGGGCAGCCUUGCGGGGUAGCUGUAGCAGCACUCAAUUGGAGGGUCUGCUGUUUUGCAGGAAACCUUGUUCUAUCAUAUGUCUUUAAGGUACACAAGGUUACAUAAUGCCUGAUCGAAUGGCAAGUCGGAGCCUCUCUUUCCUUCUACUAUCUUUUCAACUAUCAAUAUUCUCAUGCUGACUGUAUGAAUGUCCUCAUGUUGACUGUAUGUUUCAAUCAGACAGGCCCUUAAUGUUUCAUGCUAUGCUAAAGAAGUGUUUCUCCUUCAUUUUAGUUGUCAAUGGAGGCUGUGAUGAUUGCCGGCUGGGGAUGCACCUCAGCUUCUUUUAUCCUUGCUUUUGACUCUUGGCGGAGUAAAGAAGCUGAUCGAAAUACUGGAUAUGAGAGGCAAUAUAGUCAGCUCAAACCAAACAUGUUUGUUGGAUUUUGACAAUUCUGGUGGGAUUUGAGUCUGGUUUGUUGGUUUUCUUGGUCCUUUUACGCUCCUUGACAGCCCUUUGCUUCGUUCCUUUGGGUGGUCUUGGGUGACAUGAUUCACCGGGUGCAGACAAUAAUUUUUCCUUUCUAAGCAGCUAUAAGGCCAACAUCAGCUACCUGUAGCAGUACUUAAAUUGGAAGGUCUGCGGUCUUGUAGGUAACAUUAUGCUGUUACGUCUUCAAGGUGCAUAAGAUUGCAGGACCCCUCAUAAGAUAUGAUUAAAUGGCAUAUCUGAGCCUCCAUUUUCUUCUCCUAAUUCAUUUUUUGCUAUUCAGUGGUACACUCUUCCCUCACCACCCCCCCCCCCCCCCCCNNNNNNNNNNNNNNNNNNNNCCCCCCCCCCCCCCCCCCCCCCCCCCCCCCCCCCCCCCCCCCCCCCCCCCCCCCCCCCCCCCCCCCCCCCCCCCCCCCCCCCCCCCCCCCCCCCCCCCCGCUCCUCUGGCUUUCUUGCUGCAUGUAGAAUCUAGGAUGGGUUGUUUCAUAUUUUCCUUAUCAACUUCCUGGAACCCUGCGUAAUGCUGGUUGAUGACAACUGGAUAGUUGUUCGGGGGUCUAUUUCAAAAUGGCCUAUAGUUGUGGGGAUCAUCAUACUAUUUAUCCUUCUCAAUAUAUUUGAGGGUUAUCCCAAUAUUGUGACUUAGUCCUCGAACCUAUUCCGUAAACACUUGUCCCUUAUCUUUCACAUAUUCUUGCAGUUCAUCCCUGGCCAUCACUUUGGUCCAUAUGUUCCAGGCAAGAUCUCUCAUUAGCACGCUUCAGUGUAAUUUAAUCACUAGAGGAUUGGCGCGUGAGUCGUAAUUGGGGGCAAGAAGAAGUACAGGGCAUGCUCCCUCCUUUGUAUAAGCCCCGCUGUCUACUUUCUCUUGCACCACAAAAAGCAGAAGAAAAAAAGAAAACAUUUUAAUGUUGAUAUGGGAUGGUGAUAAUAGUUUAAGAAGCUUCGGCUUCAUUUGAGGAUGCCUCCUAUGUUGAUGGCGUCAGAUUGCCAUCUUCUUGAUUCCUCUCAUAUUUCUAGAUUCUAGCUAAAGCAACUAUUAUCUUUUUUUUUAAUUACAUCUCCAUUUCUCUUCUUGAUGUCUUAUUUUUUUCUUCUUCUUCUUCUUGUUAAUUGCUGCUGUUAUUGUUAAUUUUACUAUAGUGGUGGUGGUGGUGGGUGGAGUCUAUCGUCUCCCCAUCCCCUCCCGAAAGGGAAAACCCAAAAAACUUCGCUUUUCGGUUUUGACCAAGCCUUCAUUCUUGGUUUUGGCUGUAUAUAUAUAGAGAGAGAGAGAGUUUGCGAUUAACUAUUUAACCCUUGGAUUUCAGCAGUAGGUGCAUGGCAUGGAAAUCUUGGAAGGCACUACUCUUCUACAGGCAACCAUUUUUCCAUGUGAGGCCUUGAAUGUACCAGAAGAUAUAUCUACUCCUUUUCUAAUGUAAUACUCUGUUUGGCACCAAAUCGUUGUAGAAGUGAGUAUAUUUGCAAUCCUGUGAGGGCAUUUUUGGAGCAAAAAUGCAAAUUAUGGUAGAUCCGACCACAAACCAGUGGAUCUGCCUAGAAUUGCUGAAAUCAUUUGAAACCAUUGAAAAUCAAUUCAAUCCACACCUGCUAAUGUUUCCAAGGAUUAACGAGUUCUUGUUUGCAAUUUCGUUCAAAUCAGUGAUUCAAAGGAUUCUAAACAGGGUGCAAAGGAGGCUGUGAUGGUUGCCAACCUGGGUGCCAACGGUUUGUCCAAGCCAUUUCUUCUUUGCUGAGUGUACAAAAUAAACAGCUCUUUUAGUAUCAGUUCUCCUUUGGUAAAUUGGAAGGUCUGCUAAUUUAGCAGGCAACCUUUACCACCAUAUAUUAUAAUGGUGCAAGAAUUAUAUGAUGCCUUUUGAAUAAAGUGGGGGAAAUGGUUGAGAACAGACUAAUUGAAGCUUUAGGUGGGUCUCUUGUGAUGUCAUCGACAACAAUACUGCCACAUUACUGCUACAUAUGUGAGACAUCACCAUCCACUCAACUAAAUUGGCUUGUGAGAUUUGAUUGCAACAGUCAAGGAAGUUCGAGACAGAAAAUUGUAGCAAUUAUAGUUUGAGGGCCAAAGUGUCACCCGCCUCAUAGUUUGAGAACCAAAAGUGUAAUUUAGCCUUUAUUUUAGCUAACAAACCACUGAGGGUGAAAAGACAGCGUUUUCUAGGAACUGGCUCCUGUGAUGCACCAGGUGCAGGCAAUAAUUUUCCUCUCUAUGCUAUGUGUGGCAGCACUCAAUUGGAAGGUCUGCUGUUUUGCAGGCAACCUUGUUCUGUCCUUUGUCUUUAAGGUGCAUAAGACUACAUGAUGCCUCUUGAAAUGUUCGAAUAGCAGGUCAGAGCCUCCCUUUCUUGCUUUCUUUUCAGCUAAAAUGUAUAUCGUGCUGACCGUCCAUAUGUCCUCGUGCUGGCUGAAUGCUUCAAUUGGACAGACCCUUAAUGUCUUGUGCAAUGGUAAGGAAAUAUUUCUCCUUCAUUUUACUUGCCAAAGAAUGCUGUGAUGAUUGCCAAUUGGGAAGGCACGUCAACUUAUUUUAUCAUGCCUUUUGACUCUCGGCAGAGCACAAAAGCUGAUUGAAAUACUAGAUUUAAGAGGCAAUAUAGUCAGGUCAAACCAAAGAUCUUGAUUGGGUUUUGAUAAUUCGAGUGGCAUCUGAAUCUUGUUUGUUGGUUAGCUUGGUGCUUCUACACCCCUUGAGUGCCCGUCACACACUUGUAUGCUGAUUCAGAUGUGGAUAUCCAAGCAUACAUCUCUCUUUCUCUCUCUCUCUUUGUCACGCCCCAGUUUCUUGGAGCGCCACCCAUUCUAGAACUACUCUAGCCGUAGGUUUGCUCAACCCUCUUAACCUUUUGGGCUUAGCCGCUGCUCAAAAUGGUAUUGCUAGGUUAAGAGGUUUAUCUCUAUAAUACCUUAUAUAUAGGACUUCCAAAUCCUAGGGGUGUCACAUUCUCCUCUCGGUUACCUGCUUCCCUCUUUUAGGCUCUGACGUCCUCUCAGGUUCAAACACACUCACAAGCACCGCCGAUGUGAGACUCGUCUUCCUAGCCUUAGAUAACCUUGUGGGGAGCCGCGCUCCACCCACAAUGGCCGUCAGUCGGAGAGCCGUGCUUUUGCCCGUUUUAUGACCCUGGCUCAGCCAAGGAUCAUCUCACACUUAUGGUUGGUGAUUGGCUUUGAUACCAACUGACGCCUCGCUUCCCAGAGGGGUCAUCCAUCCAAGAACUACUCUAGCCUUAGGCUUGCUCAAUCCUCUUAAUCUCUUAGGCCUAGUCACUGCUCAAAAUGCUAUAGCCGGGUUAAGAGGUUUAGCCCUACUAUAUCUUAUAUAUAAAACUAUUCCAAAUCCCGGGAGUCUCCCUCCCCCUCUCCCCCUCCCACCCCCCCCUCCUGAUUGUCUCAUGCCCUAAUGACCAUUUAUAGUCAUAAUCUAUUUCAAGUAAUUUUGGAUUCGAUCAAAUAUCAUAUUUCUAUUUGUUAUAUAAAAUUAUGUGCAAGGCAUGUGAUCAAAACAGUAGCUCAAUUAGUAACUUCACCUGAACAGAGGGGUUCACUAAACUAUUUGAUAAAGUUUUUGCGGUUUUGUUGCCAAAAAGUAAAAGUUUAGGCUCCUGUUUGCAAAAGUGUUAAAGUGCAGAGUACUAAUUUUUGAUGUUUAUAUAUCUAAAAUCAUUUUCUUAAAAUGUAACUGGAAAUUGCCAAGCAGCUCUGGACUGUCUGCUCUUCUGCAGGCUACAGAGCUGCAGCCAUUAUUCCAGAAAUGUUGUGGCGGCGGCGGCUGCAGCUGCAGUUGGUGAUCAUUCAUAAUGAAGAUGAGGAUGAUGAUUAUAACCUUUAAAGAGGCUUCUACCGCAUCUAAAGAGGCCUCCUAUGUCGAUGGCAUCUGAUUGUCAUAUUCUGAUACGGUGAUACCUCUCGUAUUUCUCAAUCCUCGCUUAACUAUCAUCAAUUUUUUUUUCUACUUCUCCAUUUCUCUUCAUGAUGACUUGUUGUUGUUGCUGCAGCUGAUGGUGUUCUUGUUAUUGUUGCUGUUGUUAUUAUUAUUGUUAUUGAGGUCGUGGGGUUGGAGGUGGGUGGAGUCUGAAUGUCUCCCCGCCCCUUCCUGAAAGCCGAAACUUAGAAAACUUCGCUUUGCUGGGUUGACUAAGCCUUCAUUCUUGGUUCUGGUUAUAUAUAUCUAUAUAUAUAUAGAUAUAGAUAUAGAUAUAUAGAAACAGCUUGUAUUUGGGGGACAAAAAGGACAAAACAAACAGCAAUGAAACCAAAUGAGGCGUUAAGUUUACAGUAGUAGUUGCAUGGCAUGGUAAUUUGGAAGGCUCUGCUUUUCCGCAAGCAAUCAUUUUUCCAUGUCUUUUCUUUUUUAUACUUGGUGAAAUGGUUGAGAACAAACUGAUUGAAGCUUUUGGUUGUCUCUUGCGAUGUCAUCAACCACAAUGCUGCCACAUUACUGCUAUAUUAAUGAGACAUCACCAUUCACUUAACCAAAUUGGCCUGUGAGACUUGAUCGCAACAAUCAAGAAAGUACGAGCUACAAAUUGCGGCUAUUAUUGUUUGGGGACCAAAGUGUCACCUGCCUCAUAGUUUGAGGACCAAAAGUGUAAUUUAGCUUUAUUUUAUCUAUCAACCCUUGGAACAGGCAUUAAUUUUCCUAUCUCAGCACUCUGUUGGAAGGUCUGCUGUUUUGCAGGCAACCUUGUUCUGUCAUUUGUGAUGCCUCUUGAUGUGAACGAAUGGCAGGUCGGAGCCUCUCUGUCCUUCUACUUUCUUUUCACUGUUGAUAUUUCUCAUGCUGACCGUCCAUAUGUCCUCAAUCCUCUUGCUGACUGUAUGCUUCAACCGGAAGGCCCUUACUGUUUCAUGCAAUAUUAAGGAAGUGUUUUUCCUUCGUUGUACUUGUCAAAGGAGGCUGUGAUGAUUGCCACUUGGGAAUGCACCUCAACUUCUUUAAUCCUUGCUUUGGAUUCUCGGCGUAGUGUAGAAGCUGACCAAAAUACUGGGUAUAAGAGGCAAUAUAGUCAACUCAAACCUGAGACCUUGGUUGGGUUUUGACAGUUCGGGUGGGAUUUGAAUCUUUUUUUCUUUUUUUUUUUAAUUUUAUAUUUUAGUCCUUUUACACCCCUUGAGAGGCCUUUACGUGGUUCAUUUGUGGGAUAGACAGCAUCUCAGUGGAUGGCUUUUGGCUGACAUGAUCACCUGGUGUAGGCUAUAAUUUUUCCUUUCUCAGCAGCUCAUAUAACCAACAUUAAGUACCUGUAGCAGGACUUAAAUUGGAAGGUCUACUGUCUUGGAUGCAACAUUUUGCUGUCGUGUCUUUAAGGUGCAGAAGAUUGCAAGAUCCCUUGCGAGAUGAUUAAGUGGCAAAUCUGAGCCUCCAUUUUCUUCUCCUACUUUCUUUUAGCUAUUAGGAUUUGGUGGUACAUUAUUUAUUUUUCCCAUUUUUUCUUUUCCUCCUCUGGCCUUCUUACUGCAUGUAGAACCUAGGUGGGUUGUUUUCAAAUAUUCCUUAUCUACUACCUGAAAUGUGACACUCUACUUCAUGCUGGUUGAUGCUAAAUCAUUUAUCCUGUAUGUCUUCAGAUUUAGGCAACUUGUUAGUCUUUUAGAUUUUGAAAAGAACUAAAAACAGAUAAAGAUUCGGAUGUUUGGCAUGUAUAUCUGUAUAUUUGCAUGCUGAUUCAAAUGUGGGUAUCCAGCAUACUUGUAUAUCUACUUUUCCAUUUCUCUUCUUGAUGCCUUGUUGUUGUUGCUGCUGCUGC